GAAACAGGUUUUGAUCGCACUAGCUAGUUCAAGGGUUUGACUAAUAAAGACAGUAUCACCACCGUCGGAAUGAGGAAUUCUCCGGCAAUUUCCACGGCGGAAUCCGGCAACAAAAGUGGAAUUAGAUGGUUUUCCGGCAUGGUACACGCCGGGAAGAAGGCAUACAUGGAUAAUCAGAAGCCGAGGCAGGUUGAGAAGGCUGAGAAAGUCAUGCAUCUUAUCUGUUGGGGACCCAAAUAGUUCAUUUCUUAAGUAAGUAGUGCUUACGUUCGAAUCUUGAGAAUAAAGAAUCUUUUCAGAUGAAAGCGGUUUUCUCUUUAGUGAGUUUAUAUAUUACAAUGAAAUCUGAACAAUCGAAUUAAUGACUUCAAUUAUCGAAUGGUUAAUAAAAAAAAAAGAUUGUGUUUAUAACUUUUUCCUUUUUCCCCCCUUUUUGGGGUUUGUUUUGCCCUUUUUUCCUGUCUUAUUAUCAUCUCCUUUUCUUUCUUUUUUUUGUUUGCUUUAGUUAGUAUGGCCUAAUGGGAGAGUCGAAAUUAUUAUGUUAUUUGCUCUCUAGGAGAGUUUGUAAUUAUAUAUUAAAUGUUGUUAAAAAUAUGUUUUGGUGGGAGAUGUUUCGUCUAAAUUUUCCAAAUUGAACCAAUAUGUGAUAUUCUCAGAAAUACAAAAUGGAAAUCAAUCCAGAAUACUAGUAGUAAAUUUCUAACUUCAUUUUAGACGAUUCGACUUGAUUUGAGUUAUUAGUUCUGUGGUUUUACAACUUAAUUAGAUAGAAAACCUUCACCUAAAAAAACAUAAACAUAUAGUUAUGACCGAACACCACCUCAUAAUAAACCUAAGAAAUAAUGAAUUCAGUUGUGAAAUUGAGAAGAAAAGAGGCAAGUGAGGACAAUUUUAUGGGUCGUCGAUAAUCAAAGAGGUAAGGUCUGCGUAUACUCUAUCCUCCCCAGAUUCCACUGAUGAAAUUUUACUAGGUGGUUGUUGUUGUUUUUGUUGAUAAGCAAAAGAGGGCCUUUUAGUGUGUGUGUGUGUAUAUAUAUAGUAGUUUAUAGACAAAUAAAUUAAUUUGAUCCCAUGAUAAUGAAUAAGUUAGACAAACAUAAAAUACUUAGCAUUGAUAUGGAGACAGAACAACAGAAAUCGUAAUAUCGGGAGCAGGGCUUCCGAGGACAAUAAUCACGAUAUAAAUGAGCAAAAAGAUAAAAUUAUAUUGAGCUCUGAACAAAGUGUAGCAUAUGUUUGUAAGAAAAUUCGUGUCAUUUACAAUGAUAAUAUUGCUCAUUAUUAUAGUUGCACCUAGGGAACAAGGUCCUAGGAUCAAGCCCCUCUUUAAUGACAAUUAUGAGGGCUAUUGAAGAAUGUGUAACAGUAGGCAAUGAAUGUCAUAUUCUCUAUAACAGUCCACAUACUUAAUGCUGUAGAAAAUUCUUUAUUAAAUGCUACCGGGUGGCAGACAAUUAUUUCACCUUCAUGAGGAUCAUUUUCUUCGAUAACAGACGAGAUCGUUGCCUUCGGAUCCGACUUCCUUCUAUCUUCGGCUCUAUGUCACUUUCUCAUGUGAUCAUUUAAUAUAAACACAUUUUACCCUAUACAUAUGGCCCCCUUGCUUUUCGAUGGCAUAACUUUGUGUCAACGGGAAGUUGGUAGAAAUACCUUUUUUGGCGGAAAAUUCUCUGGCCCCCGCCGAAAAGUUUCUGACAGCUGAUUAGACCCAUGUCUCUUUGCAUUUAAUGCCCUGAACACGCGUCAUCCCACGAUUCAUCACCACUUUUGUCGGUUAUCGAGGUAAUUAUGGCCACGAUUUUAGCCGCCUAUUCCGUUACUUAUACGUAUCAAACUUCUCCAUUUACACUUCAUAACCUUCCAAACUCUCUCGAACUCUUUUUGUUUAACUUAUACUUGUCCUCAACUUUCCCAAAUCUUCUCUUUUAGUGAAGACCCUUUCCUCUUUUUUGAUAGCAAUGGCCUCUUCUUCCAGAAACCUUAGUUCUUCAAAGAACAAAGGUAAAGUUGAUGACAUUGCUCCUCUUACGGUGAGCACCAUCAUCCCAAAGAGUCUUAUCAAAACGAAGGACUUCAAAGAGAAGUUUCCUACCGUUAAUUCACGCACGUGGGUUGUUGGCAUGUAUCCUUCUUCUAUCCGUCCUUCCAGCAUCCCUGUUGUGAAGGAAAACCGACAUUGCCUUGAUUUGAACAUCAUCGCUCGUGACCUGUCGGAGUCGAUAAUCUUACCCAAGAAAGGUUUUACGUAUUUUUAUAUGUAUCCCUUCACUUUGGGGCCAUUCUCUUUGAACUGGGAGCUUAACUCUGUUAUCACGGAGCUCUGCAUCCGUUAUCAGGUAUACCUGGCGCAGGUAAGUCCUUCUGUGUGGAGGACAAUUGCUUGUCUUAGGCGUCUAUGCCAGGAGACAGGAGAAGAGCUAACCUUGGCUUGAUUAAUGAUCCCCCAAGAUUUUCCGUGGGAGAAUGAUAAAUUUCAGCAAGUGUGGCCACUAUGCUCUGCUAUCCAGCAUGGAUGAUGAUAACGAUCGUGAGUGGAAGGAACGGUUCAUCAUAGUUGCCACAAGCGACAUCAUUCCGGCCACGGCUUCAUCCUUUUCGGAAUUAUGGAACCUAACUCAUAAGUUCAUCAUUUGUCUUUUCUUUCAUUAAAGAUCGCCCCAUAUCGUUAUUGGACCUUCUUCUUUAGCUUAUUUCAGCAACUCGGUGGGUACCACCUAGGGUUGAAGGCUUGGAUCAGUGGGUCCAAAAAAAUUUGAAUGUUACUAUGCUCGAGACCCGCACGUGGAAAAAACUUGCCCUUAAAUAUGGGUGGGAGGCCAAGAAUCAUGGUAAGUUGAACUCAUCUUGUUUUUACUGUAACGACAUGGCCAGUUGUUUUGAGUAUUUUAGCCCCUAUCCCCUAUAUUAUGCUUCCUCUAUGCUAUACUGUAGUUAUGUAACUUGCCUGGGUGGUUGGUUUUGGUUUCGGGUGAGUUUUGGAGUGAAAUGGGAUACAUAGUCCCUAAGUUGGAAGGUUAAGUCGUAGGAGUUGACCGUAGAUUGACUUGUAUGAAGACGACUUCGGAAUGGAGUUUUGACAGUUCCAAUAGCCCCUAUGGUGAUUUUUGUCGUAGAAGCAUGUCCGAAGGGUAAUUUGGAGGUCUGUAGGUUGUUUCGGCGUGAUUUGGCGAAAUUUGAAAAGUUGGAGGAUUUUUGGAAAGUUUGACCAUGAGUUGUCUUUAUUGAUAUCGGGGUCAAAAUCCAAUUUCGAAAGUUGAAAUAUGUCUGCAAUAUCAUUUAUGACUUGUGUGCAAAAUUUGAAGUCAAUCAGAGUUAUUUUGGUAUGAUUCGGCAUCGGUUUUAGAAUUCGGAAGUUCAUAAUUUCUUAGGCUUGAAUUUGGAUUGCGAUUCGUAGAAUUUAUGUUAUUGGAUGUGAUUUUUGUCCUUGAGUAGGCCUGUUAUUUAUUUUGAAACUAUUUGGUAUAUUCGAGCGGGGUCCCGGAGGCCUCGGGUGUGAUUCUGAUCGAAUCCGGAACAAUUUGGACUUAUUGAAUUUUGCUGAAGGUUGGCAGCUUCUGGUGUCUUUGCACUUGCGGAGGGAUUAGCCGCAGAUGCGGGCUUGCAAAAACGAGCACUUGGUCGCAAAUGCGGAGCUAGGCAUGCCCAACUGGGGGCGCAUGAGUGGGAAAUGUUCCACAGAAGCGGCUUCGCUUAUGCAUUGGAGGGGAACGUAGGAGCGACAGUGGUAACAGGUGAGACGCUUGUGCCGCAGGUGCGCAUGCGCAGAUGCGAACCUUUUUCCGCAGAUGCGGAUAUCUUGGACUUAAGUGAAGACCGCACCUGCGAUGGUUUUCCCGCAGGUGCGUAGCCACAGAUGCGGUAGAAAGGUCGCAGGUAAGAUUUAACUGGCAGAAAAAGGGGAAAUUCGAGGCUUAGUUUUCAUAAUUUAUUUUGGGAUUUUGGGAGCUCAGUGGGAAAUGAAAUUUCGAGGAAUUUUCAGUGAGAAUGUUGGGGUAAGAAGAAGCCUUAACUCAAUUUUGGUUAAAUUACUCGAGUCUAUCAUUGUUUUAUCAUGUAAUUAGGGAUUGGAGUUGGAAAAAUUGGGAAAAGGUGGUAGAACUUCUUAGACUAAGUUUUUAGUUUUGAAAAGCGAAUUGAGGUCAGAUUUGAAUAAUUCUUGUGUGAUUGAACUCGAUAUCGAAUGGGUGUUCGAAUUUUAUAAUUUUGGUCGGGUUUCGAGAUGUGGACCGAGUUGACUUUUUGGGUUGAUUUUUCAAUUCUUUGCAAAGAUCGUAAUUUCACUGUUUGAAUUAGUUUCCUAUAGUUAUAAUUUUAGUAUGAAAUUUUGGCUGAAUUCGAGCCGUUCGGAGUUGGAAAAUCGAGGGAAAGGUCUUCUAGUGGAUUGACUUAGCAUGAUUUGAGGUAAGUGGCUUGCCUAACUUUGUGUCGGGGAACUUUCCCUUAGGAUUGGUGUUACUUGUGAUAAUUGUGAUGUGCAAAAGCCGUGUACGAAAGGUGACGAGUGUGUACACGGGCUAAAUAUGAAAAUUAUCGGUUUUUGGCUGUGUAAAUUCCUUUCAUGUCAUAGUUGAGUUGCUUUAACAUGUUAUAGUCUUCAUUUUUAGUCUAAUUCUAUAUGUCUACUUCUCUUAUCCCUUACUGGCUAAUUGCUCUACAUGUUUAGUCAAAAUUCUUGUUUCUUUUAUUCCGUAUUCAUUAUUAACUAUGGAAUUCUUUAUUGAAAUUAUUAUUUCUUGGAAUAUCUUGUCGUUAAAAUUAGUAUUGAGUUGCAAGGGCCGUGAUUCUAUUGAGGCAAAGUGUUAAGUUGUUAAACAUCAUGCUAUUGAGUUAUUCCUCGGGUUGUUAAUUGUUGAGACUUUGUGUACAUUGUGUUUGAGUCGUGGGCUCCUUGUUGUGAAAUUAUGUUAUUGUUUGGUUUCUCUGGCACGUUGUGAUAUUGGGCCCUUGAGGUGUGGUUUAUGAUAAGUUGUGAUAGUGAUACGCAUGUGGUGGUAUAAGGUUUGGGUGUUGAAACACAUGCGGUGAGAUAAGGUGGUCUUGAUACGCAUGGUUAGUAGGAAACUACUAGAAUCCAUGCGGUAUGAUAAGGUGGGCUGAAACGCGGGAUGCUAUUUCGGGAAAAAUAAUUUUCAAAACUAAAUGUAAAGACUCCCGCGGUGAUAUAAGAAAAGAUUUUGAUUUAUUUUGUGAUUUGAGACUACGAGGCGGUACCUCAGUAGUGACUCUUGUUGACAUUUUCCCAUUUUCUUGUCUUGAUCGGUUUUUCCUUAGCAUAUUAUUAAAUGUCUUGCUCUAUGUUGCACUAUUUGCUUAGUUUCGUGUAUCUAAUCUUGUUAUGCUAUUCGUUUGUUUAAUUUUCAUUACUAUCUUAUUAUACUAUCUAUAUUGUUCAGUCUUUUAUUUAUUUUUAGUAGGGCCUGACUUGAUCUCGUCACUUCUCUACCAAGGUUAGUUUUGGCACUUACUAGGUAUCAUUGUGGUGUACUCAUGCUACUCUUCUGCAUAUAUUUUUAUGCAUAUCCAGGUGCUUCCUACUAGCCCAGGCGUUAGUUAGGAUUCUACUGCGAAGACUUCAAGGUAUACUUGCCGGUGUCCGCAGGCCUUGGAGUCCCCCUCUCUCUAGAUCUCUUAUUUCGUCAUCCUUAUUAUAUACUCGUGAUGCAUAUGAUUAUACAAUACUCAUACUUAGAGAUUGUGACUUGUAUUUUCACCGGGCCUCGGGAUUUGUGUAUGAUGUGUUGAAGUGUUGGUAUAUAUAUAUCUAUUGAGUUUGAGAAGUUUAUUUACUAUUAUUUCAAUUAUUUUGCAUGUUGUUAGGCUCACCUAGUUGUUGUCACAGCAUCCUACAGAGGAAAUUCGAGGUCAUGACAAGUUGGUAUUAGAGUUCUAGAUUUAUAGGUGUUAUGAGUCACAAGCAAGUUUAGUAGAGUCUCGCGGAUCGAUACGGAGACGUCUGUACUUAUCUUUGGGAGGCUAUGGAACUGUUAGGAAAAGCUUCACUUCUUUGAUUCCUUAUCAUGCGAAAUUGUUGACUUCGGGAUUCUAAACUUCUGUCUUUCUGUUCUCUCAUAGAUGGUGUGGACACGUAUAAUUGGAUCGGAUUACGAGAUACCCACGUCCCCUAAUAGAGCCUCGAGAGGCCGGGGCCGAGGACGUCCAUGUGGUGCAGCCAGAGCACCUGCACGAGCUGCUACAGAGGAACCACCAGUAGCUCUAGUUGGAGAACAGGCACCUGAGACGUCUGUUACUACCCAGCACUCCAGGAGACUCUCUCCCAAUUUCUGAGCAUGUUCGAUACUUUAGCUCGGGCAGGGUUGAUACCACUUUCUCUUGCCACAUCUCGGGCUGGGGGAGAAGCACAUACUUCCGCCACCCAUACCCUAGAGUAGUGGGCCCAAGUUGACCAGGUCCCAAAGGUCAUACCAAUACAGUUGGUCGUUCCAGUUCGGCCCGAGGUUAGGGCAGCAACUUUUGAGGGGGAGCAGCUCAGGCUCGAGAGGUACAAAAAUUACAACCCUCAUACUUUCAGCGGCUUGGCGUCAGAGGAUGCCUAGUGUUUUCUUGAGGAGUACCACCGUAUCCUCUGUACGAUGGGUAUUGUGGAGUCUAGUGAGGUUGUUUUCACUACAUUCUAGCUUAAGGGAGCAGCUUAUUAUUGGUGGCAAGCAUAUGAGUUGUGUAGUCCGACCGAGGCAGCUUCACUCACUUGGGCUUAAUUUUCAGAUAUGUUCUUGAGGGAGUUUGUUCCCCAGAGUCUUAGAGAUGCAUGGCGCGCAGAGUUUGAGCAGUUGCGCCAGGGUUCUAUGAUCGUAUCGGAGUAUGCGAUCCAGUUCAGUGAUUUGUCUAGGCAUACACCAGCCUUGGUUGCUACUGUUAGAAAACGAGUCCAUCGAUUUAUCGAGGGGCUUAACCCGGAUUCAGAUUUAGCAUGACUCGAGAUUUGGAGAUGAACAUUGCAUACCAGCAGGUAGUGGAGAUCGCUAGGAGGUUAGAGGGUAUGUGGGCCUGGUAAAGAGAGGAGAGGAGGGCCAAGAGGCCUCGAGAUUCUGGCACAUAUAGUGGUGCCUGUGCCCCAGUUGCAGCUCGUCAUGGUAGGGGCUAUGUGAGUCACUUUGUUCAUUCAGUACUUCCAGCUUCCAGCGGUAUUCUGGCCACUCCUAGGCCUCAGGAUCCCUUUUAUGCACCGCCAUUAUCUAGUGCACCUCCUGCACGGGGUGCUUUUAGCAGUCAGUCCAGCUGCUCAGGCUUUAGCCAACCACAACAACCAAGUCCUCUGAGAGCUUGUUUUAAGUAUGGUGACACUCGUCACAUGGUGAGGGAUUGCCCCAGACUCAGGAGGGGUGCACCUCCACAGACCACUCAGGCUCCGCGUAUUCCACCGGGUCCUCAGGACAUGGUGACCGCACCAGUUGCCACUCCAGCUGCAUAGCCAACUAGAGGUGGAGGUCAGGCAGGUAGAGGUUGCCAUAUAAGGAGAGGUCAGGCAAAAUAUUAUGGUCUUCCUGCUAGGACGGAGGCAGUUGCAUCCGACUCACUCAUCAUUGGUAUUGUUCUGGUCUGUCAUAGAGAUGCAUCAGUCUUAUUUGAUCCAAGAUCCAUUUAUUCCUAUGUGUCAUCUUACUUUGCUCUAUAUUUGGGUGUAUCUCGUGAUUCUUUGAGUUCUCUAGUUCAUGUAUCCAUACCCGUGGGAGAUUCUAUUGUUGUUAACCGUGUGUAUUGGUCGUGUUUAGUUGUUCUUGGUGAUUUUAAGACCACAGUCGAUCUAUUAUUGCUCAGUAUGGUAGAUUUUGAUAUUAUUUCGGGCAUGAACUGAUUGUCAUCCUCUUAUGUUAUUCUCGAUUGUCACGCCAAGACCGUGACGCUUGCUAUGCCAGGGUUACAUGGGUAGAGUGGAGAGGUGCUUUAGAUUAUGUUCCUAGUAGGGUUAUCUCAUUUCUAAAGGCUCAGUGUAUGGUUAAGAAGGGGUGUAAUGAUUAUCUAUCUUUCGUGAGAGAUGUCAGUGUUGAUACUUCUACCAUGGAGUCAGUUCCGAUAGUGCAGGAUUAUCCAGAUAUAUUUCCGGUGGAUCUUCUGGACAUGUCGCCCGAUAAGGAUGUUGAUUUUUGUUAUUGAUUUAUUACUAGUCACUUAGCCCAUUUCUAUUCCACCCUAUCGUAUGGCCCCAAUAGAGUUGAAAGAAUUAAAGGAGCAGUUGCAAGAGUUGCUUGAUAAGGGCUUCAUUCAGCCCAGUGUGUCGCCUUGGGGUGCUCCAGUCUUGUUUGUAAAGAAGAAGGACGGUUCUAUGCAUAUGUGUAUUAAUUAUCGCAAGAUGAACAAGGUUACAGUGAAGAAUAUGUAUCCAUUGCCACAUAUUGAUGAACUAUUUGAUCAGCUAGAGGGCGCCAGAGUGUUCUCCAAGAUUGACUUCCGUUCAGGCUAUCAUCACUUGAAGAUUUGGGAGCCAGAUAUACCGAAGACUACCUUCAGGACUCGGUAUGGUCAUUACGAGUUCCCUGUGAUGUCUUUUGGAUUGACCAACGCCUCAGAAACAUUCAUGGAUUUGAUGAACAGUGUAUUUCAGCCCUAUCUUGACUCAUUUGUCAUUGUGUUUAUUGACGAUAUUUUGGUGUACUCCCAAAGUCGGGAGGAUCAUGAGCAGCACUUGAGGACUGUACUCUAGACCUUGAGAGAAAAGAAGUUAUAUGCAAAAUUUUCAAAAUGUGAAUUAUGGCUUUAUUCGGUAGCAUUUUUAGGCCAUGUAGUGUCGAGUGGGGGGAUCAUUGUAGAUCCGAAGAAUAUUGAAGCAAUGUAGAGUUGGCCCAGACCGUCUUCAGCUACGGAGAUCCGGAGUUUUCUUGGUUUGGCGGGGUAUUACCAUCGAUUUGUAGAGGGUUUCUCAUCUAUUUCAUAGCCUAUGACCAAAUUAACCCAGAAGGGUGCUCUAUUCAGGUGGACCGAGGAGUGUGAGGAGAGAUUUUAAAAGCUCAGGACUGUUUUGACUACAGCCCCAGUGUUGGUAUUGCCUACAGGUUCAGGGUCUUAUACUGUGUAUUGUGAUGCAUUACGUAUUGGUCUCGGUGCGGUAUUGAUGCAGGACGGUAGGGUGAUUGCCUACGCAUCUAGAUAGAUGAAGGUGCAUGAGAAGAACUAUCAUGUCCACGACCUUGAGUUACAAGCUAUUGUUCAUGCCUUGAAGAUUUGGCCGCACUAUUUGUACGGUGUUCCUUGUGAGAUCUACACUGACCACCAGAGUCUACAGUAUCUGUUCAAAUAGAAGGAACUUAACUUGCGUCAAAGAAGGUGGUUAAAGUUGCUUAAGGACUAUGAUAUCACCAUUCUGUAUCACCCCAGGAAUGCCAAUGUGGUGGCCGAUGCCUUGAGUCGCAAGGUGGAGAGUUUGUGCAGCUUAGCAUAUCUAUUGGUAGUGGAGAGGCCAUUAGCAUUGGAUGUUCAGGCCUUGGCCAACCAGUUUGUUAGAUUGGAUGUUUCUGAGCCAGGUCAAGUUUUGGCUUGUGUGGUUUCUCGGUCUUCUCUUCAUGAUCGUAUCAGAGAGCGUCAGUAUGACAGCCCCCAUAUGCUUGUCCUUAAGGACACAGUUCAGCAUGACAAUGCUAAGGAGGCCACUAUUGGAGAUGAGGGUGUAUUAGGGAUGUAGGGCAGGCUAUGUAUGCCCAAAGUAGAUGGUUUGAGUGAGUUGAUUCUCCAGGAGGCUCACAGUUCGUGGUACUCCAUUCAUCCAGUUGCCGCGAAGAUGUAUCAGAACUUGAGGCAGCAUUAUUUGGUGGAGGAGAAUGAAGAAGGACAUAGUGGAGUAUGUAGCUCGGUGCCUAAACUGUCAGCAGGUGAAGUAUGAGCAUUAGCGGCCAGGUGGAUUGCUUCAAAAGCUAGAGAUUCUAGAGUGGAAAUAGGAGCGAAUUACUAUAAAUUUUGUUGUUGGGCUCCCAUAGACUCAGAGGAAGUUCGAUGCAGUUUGGGUGACUGUGGAUAGGUUGACCAAGUCAACUCAUUUCAUUCCAAUGGUGACUACUUAUUCUUCUGAGCAGCUAGCCCGAGUUUAUAAUCGCGAGAUUGCCAGGCUUCAUGGAGUGCCGAUAUCCAUCAUCUCUGGCCGGGGUACAUAGUUUACAUCGCGGUUCUGGAAAGUCGUACAACAAGAGUUAGGUGCACGAUUUGAGUUGAGCAUGGCAUUUUACCCGUAGACGGAUGGGAAGUCCGAGUGCACUAUUUAAAUAUUGGAGGAUAUGCUUCGUGCAUGUGUGAUGGAGUUUGGGGUUUCUAGGGAUCAGUUCUUGCCGCUUGCGGACUUUUCCUAAAAUAACAACUACUAGUCAAGCAUUUAGAUGGCUCCAUAUGAGGCUUUGUAUGGUAGACGGUAUCGGUCUUCGGUGGGUUGGUUUGAGCCGGGUGAGACUAGGCUAUUGGGUGCAGACUUGGUUCAGGAUGCUUUGGAAAAGGUUAAAAUUGAUUCAAGAUCGACUUCGUACAAUCCAAUCCAGAUAUAAGAGUUAUGUGAAUCGGAAGGUUCGCGACAUUGAAUUCGUGGUUGUGGAGUGGGUCUUGCUCCAAGUUCGCCCAUGAAGGGUGUUAUGAGGUUCAGGAAGAAGGUCAAGUUGAGCCCUAGGUAUAUUGGGCCAUAUGAGAUACUUGAGAGGAUUAGAGAAGUGGCAUAUAGGCUUGUAUUACCACCUAGUCUAGCUGUAGUUCAUCAAGUAAUCCAUGUUUCUAUGCUCCGGAAGUAUCACGGCGAUCUAUCUCAUGUGUUAGACUUCAGCUCAGUCCAGUUGGACAAGGAAUUGUCUUAUGUUGAGGAGUCGGCGGCCAUUUUGGACAGGAAGGAUCCAAAGUUGAGGUCGAAGAACAAUGCUUUAGCGAAGGUUCAGUGGAGGGGUCAGCUAGUCGAGAAGGUGAAUUGGGAGACGGAGCAUGAUAUAUAUAACCAUUAUCCUUAUCUUUUCACCACUUCAGGUAUGUCUCUAUACUUGUUCGAGUACGAACGUUUGUUUUAAUAGGGGGAGGAUGUAACGACCCGGCCGGUCAUUUUGAGUAUUUUAACCCCGAUCCCCUAAAUUAUGAUUCCUCUAUAUUAUAUUGUGGUCAUGUAACUUUUCGAGGUGAUUGGUUUUGGUUUCGGGUGAGUUUCAAAGUGAAAUGGGGCACAUAGUCCCUAAGUUGGAAGGUUAAGUCGUAGGAGUUGACCAUAGUUUGCCUUGUGUGAAUACGACUCCAUAAUGGAGUUUUGACGGUUCUAAUAACUCCGUAUGGUGAUUUUGGUUAGGAGUGUGUACGAAUGUUGAUUUGGAGGUCUGUAGGUCGUUUCGGCGUGAUUUGGCAAAAGUUGGAAAGUUGGAGGAUUUUGGAAAGUUUGACCGGGAGUUGAGUUUAUUGAUAUCGGAGUCGGAAUUUGAUUCCGGAUGUUGGAAUAGGUCCGUAAUAUCAUUUAUGACUUGUGUGCGAAAUUUCAAGUCAAUCAAAGUUGUUUUGGUAUGAUUCGACAUCGGUUUCGGAAUUUAGAAGUUCAUAAUUUCUUAGGCUUGAAUUUGAGUUGCAAUUCGUAGAAUUUAGGUCAUUGGAUGUGAUUUUUGACCUCGAGAAGGUCCAUUAUGUAUCUAAGAACUAGUUGGUAUAUUCGGACGGGGUCCCAGAGGCCCGGGUGUGAUUUGGAUCGAAUCCGGAAUAAAUUGGAUUUGUUGAAUUUUGCUGAAGGUUGGCAACUUCUGGUGUCUUCGCACCUGCGAAGAGAUUGGCUGCAGGUGCAGGCUCAUAAAAAUGAGCACUUGGUCGCAGAUGUGGAGCUGGGCAUGCCCAGCUAGGGGCGCAGGAGCAGAAAAUGUUCCGCAGAAGCAGCUUCGCUUCUGCAAUAGUGGGGAACGCAGGAGCGACAAUGGUCGCAGGUGCGACGCUUGUGCUGCAGGUGCGCAUGCGCAGAUGUGAGCCCUUUUCCGCAGAAGCGAAUUCCUUGGACUUAAGUGAAGUCCGUACCUGCGAUGAGUUUUCCGCAGGUGCGCAGCCGCAGAUGCGGCAGAAAGGUCACAAGUGCGAUUUAACCGGCAGAAAAAUGGGAAAUUUGAGGGUUAGUAUUCAUAAUUCAUUUUGGGAUUUUGGGAGCUCGGUGGGAGACGAAAUUUCGAGGGAUUUUCAGAAAGAACAUUAGGGUAAGAAUUGUUAAUUCGAUUUUGGUUAAAUUACUCGAGUUUAUCAUUGUUUUAUCAUGUAAUUAGGGAUUGGAGUUGGAAAAAUUGGGAAAAAGUGGUAGAACUUCUUAGACUAAGUUUUUGAGUUUUGAAAGACGAAUUGAGGCCGGAUUUGAAUAAUUCUUGUAUGGUUGGACUCGAUAUCAACUUGGUGUUCGAAUUUUAUAAUAUUGGUCGGGUUCCGAGAUGCGGGCCCAAGUUGAUGUUAUGGGUCGGUUUUUCAAUUCUUUGCAAAUAUCAUAAUUUCAUUGUUUGAAUUAGUUUUCUAUAGUUAUAUUUAUAAUAUGAAAUUAUUUUGUAUUGAUUCAAGCCGUUCGGAGUUGGAAUAUCGAGAAAAAUGCCUUCUAGUGAAUUUAUUUAGCAUGAUUUGACGUAAAUGGUUUGUCUAACUUUGUGUGGGGGAGAUACCCCUUAGGAUUGAUGUUACUUGUGAUAAUUGUGAUGUGUAAGAGCCGUGUAUGCAAGAUGACGAGUGUGUACACAAACUAAAUGUGGAAAUUACCAGUUUUUAGCUAUGUAAAUUUCUUUCAUGUGUUAAUUGAGUUACUUUAACAUGUUAUAGUCUUCAUUUUUAGUCUAAUUUCACAUGUCUACUUGUCUUAUCUCUUACUUGUAAUUUCUCUACAUGUUUAGUCGAAAUUUUUGUUUCUUUUAUUCCGUAUUCAUUAUUUAACUAUGAAAUUCUUUAUUGAAAUUAUUAUUUCUUGGAAUAUCUUGUUGUUGAAAUUGGUAUUGAGUUGCAAGGGCUAUGAUUCUAUUUAGGCAAAGUGUUAAGUUGUUUAAUAUCAUGCUAUUGAGUUAUUCUUCAGGUUGUUACGUGGGCUCCUUGUUGUGAAAUUCUGUUAUUGUUUGGUUUCUUGCACAUUGUGAUACUGGGCACUUGAAGUGCGAUUUGUGAUAAGUUGGGAUAUUGAUAUGCAUGCGGUGGUAUAAGGUUUGGGUGUUGAAACGCAUGCGGCAAGAUAAGGUGUGCUUGAUACACUCACUACAACAAAAAAGCUUUUUAGCGACAAUAGAUAUGCAUUUUAGCAGCAAUUGUUAUUGUCGUAAAAACUUUUAGCGGCAAUUGAUCAUUAACCGUUGUAUCCAGCGUCGCUAAAGGUUUUAGCGGAAAAUAGACUGAGUGCUGGUAAAUGUCCCAUUUAUUGCCGCUAAAAGAUCUGACAUUUAGUGGCAUUUAUAUACUAGCAAUUACAAGAGCCACUAUAAUUAUCCCAUAACCUAAGUUGCUCGGACUCGGGUGUGGGUAUUCGAUACGGGGACGAAUCCUAGUAUCGAAUUCGGCAAAAUCUAAAUUUUAUAAUUCGGGAGUGCGGAUCCAGAUAUGGAUACGGGUGCGGGAUUCGGCUAAUAAAAAAUAGAGCUAUAAAAAUAUUAUAAAUUUUGAGGGAUUUUCUGUGAAAAACUUACAUAAAUAUUGCACAAUUCAAUCUUUCAUUUCCCAAGAUGGACAUUAUUCUUUCAUUGUUCUAAAUCUGUUUUAUUUUUGAUUUUGAGAACUCAAAAUCUCAGUUUUUCUACCAAAGUUGUCGAUGGACUCCGGUCAAAGUGUCCGAAGUCAGUUGACUAUAUCCAGGACGUAUCCAGUCCUCGUAUUCGUAUCUAUCCCGUAUCAGGAUGGGAACAGCACCAAAAUCGAAGAGUCCGCGCAACUUAGUCCAUAACUAGCCUUCUAUUUGGUCUUAGCAGCAUCUGUUAUGGUCGGUAAAUAUUAAUUUUUUUGCCGUUAAAGAAAAUCUUUUAAUGACCUUUCUUAUUGCCGGUAAAACUAUGCAUAAAUUGUCAAAUGCUAAUCGUCGGGAAACUAUAAGCCUUUUCGACAUAAAGGUAAUAACAAAAACUGCACAUAUAUAAUAACAUAAAUGUAUAUAAUAAAAUAUGCAAAUAUUUAUUCUAGGAAGAAUAAGGUGUUUCACUAAAUUCAUAAUAUACAGAGAUAAUUACAAGUUCAUACUUUAGAGUUUCAGCAAAAAAAAAUAAAAAAAUACACCAUUUGAAUCCAACAAUAGUUUUUUCUCCUCCUGACAAAUCUAGUUCUUUCUGUGUCAAUUUCUGCGUCCAAGGAUAUCAUAAUUAGAUGAGUUAGAACAAAGCAUCUUCAUUGACUGUAGAAAGUCAGUUCUUGUUGACUCCAGCAAGUUUCAUCCAUUGGAUACUAGUUCUGCAGCCAUGUAAUUUGUGGAUUGUAGAUUUAAAUUGAACUGCAGAACAAAAGUUUUUUUUUUGUCAAAAUAAACUUUUUUAUUCAACCAAGUAAAGAUUUAUACACAGCUAACUCUUUUGGACCCAAGAGUUAGUUCUCUAGGAAAAUUAAAACUACGCUAUAAUCUAUCUAUGCUGGGUAAUAAUUUAACCUAUCUAGUAUACUCUUCCAUUUUGCAAUUGCUCUGUCCUUUAAUAUGUAACUGUAUUACAAUUUCCUUCACUCUCUGUCUAGCCUCUUGCUUCCUUUGUUGAAAUCUUCUUGCAUUUCUCUCUGCCCAGACAUGAUAGACAGUUGUUGCAAAGAGAAAUCAUAGAAUAUGAGUCCUUGGUCGAUUGUUCCUUUUAAUUCUGCAGCCAUGUAAUUUGUGGAUUAUAGAUUUAAAUUAAAACUGCAGAAUAAAGUUGCAUAAAACUUAGGCAUAUACUCAUGAAAUGGGAUUAGUUUAUCUAUAGUUGUAAUGUAAAAAAUGAAGGAUAAAAUGAACCUUGAUUCUUUAGUCAAAUUCUCAUUUCUAGCUCUUUGCUCACAUGCUAGUUCCUAACUUCCUGUUAGUAAGUAAAACACACAUUCAGACAAGUAAACUUGGAUUUGGUUUUUGGAAAAUACUAGACAAACAUAUAAAACCAUUUGAAACCUUUCCAGUUCAAAUGUACCCUUCUCCUCAGUAAUAAGUUUUUUUUCUCCUCAAGUUCAGUGAAUUUCUACUAAAAAUGGCUGUAAAUCUUUUGUUCUUGCAAGUUUGCUUGUAGAGUUGCAACGCAGAAUACUUACUGCUAGUUGUGAAAGCAAUAUUUUCACCUACUUAACCAUGCUCGAUCCAACUACAAGUAUAAAUGAAAAAGAUGAAUGUUUGAACAUCUUAUUAAUACAAUAGAAUUCACAUUUGUCUUUAAUGGUGAAAAAUAAGCUUAGCUACUUAUGGAGAUCACAAAUAUUAAAAGUUCAUUUAAUUCUUGCCAUAUACAUUAGAUGCAGUUCUACUUUUCAUCUGUAGAUCACCUCCCCAGCUCGUCUAAUUUUAAGAACCAUCAAUACUCCAUUUCUUAUUCUAAUAAACUUGAAUUAGAUAUUUCUAAUCAAAAAAUGCCGGAGCAAUAAAUUUAUGUAAUUUAAGUCAAAACUAGAUAAUACAUUGGCCCUAGAAGAACAGAGAAUACAUAUCCAAUAUUCUUCAUUUUUUUACUAAACAUGUUAUUUUAGAAUCUUUAAACUAGUUUAAAUAUCCUCCACAUAAUAUCUUCAUUUUCAAAUAAAACAUUGAUAACGAGUAACAUCACAACUUAGAAGCCUCAUUAGCUCAGAAAUACUUCUAUUGUUCUUCGAAGUUUAACAUUUGAAACGACUCUAAUUUAACCCAUGAUGAAAAACAUUAAAGAUUUUCAACCUACGAAUGUCUAAAAUUGAUUUAUCAUCUUUUAACAAUUGAAAAUACUACUUGUAAAAUACCAUAUAUAAGUCAUUAUUGUCCAAGCGACAAUAUUUCUAUAUGACAUUUUAUCAAACACUUCAUAGGCUUCUUAAGUUAGUUCUAUAGGAGCAAACACCAAAAGUAAUAUUGUCUAAACAAAUGAAUUCAAAUCAAACUAGAUCACUAGCAAUUCAGUAAAAACAAACGAAUAAGAAAUAAACUCAUACUCCUCUUAUUACAAAAUGAGCAUCAAACAAAUGCCAAACUAAAAAAACCAAAACCAAAUUAUAAACAAUUAUUUACUGUACUUAGCUACCUACCUUCUCCGAUGGGGAAAAAAAUCCAUAAUAUACCUGCAGUAUUCUAACACUCGUACAUGAACUAACCCAUGAGCCAAAAUAAAUCUUCUGCUAGCAUUGAUAGCCUCAUAAUCCCAAGUUUUAUUCAUGCCAAAAUGGAAUAAAGAAAAAUAAUCAACAAUUACCAAAUCUUAUAAGAAUGUGAAUAGCAAAUGACAAAAAAAUAUUGAUUGUGAAAGUACCAUAGAGGUAGCCGGCAGUGACGAAGAUGUAGGUGGUAAGGCAAAGAGUUCUGAUCUACAACCGGUUAUUCGAGAUUUGCCAAUGUUAUAAUGUUUGUGUUCAUCCUUUUCUUCCCCUUUGGUUGUAGUCUGUAGAUAUGGGCUAACGAGAUUCUGAAAUAAUUUUGAUGGACGAAAAUAAGAGAAAUAAGAACAGUAAAUAAAAAACAAGCCAAGGGCGGGAGGAUUAAAAGAAGAGAGGGAAAUGAAAAAGUAUAGGGUUUCCUCUGGAGGGAAGGUUAAAAAUAAAAUAUAGGCUCUUUAGUGACUAAUUCGUUUAAUUGCCAGUAAAAUGAAACUUUUUACCGGCUAAUAUAUAUUUACCCUAACAUUCUAGUUUAGGAAUUAAAUUAGUUGCAAUUAUCUUACUGUCACUAAUUAAUUACUGCUAAAUAAUUUUUUUGUGGUAGUGCACGUGGAUAGUAGGGGAACUACUAGAAACCAUGUGGUGUGAUAAGGUGGGCUAAAACACACGAUGCUAUUUCGGGAAAAAUAAUUUUCAAAACUAAAUGUAAAGGCUCACGCUAUGAUAUAAGAAAAGAUUUUGAUUUAUUUUGUGAUUUGAGACUACGAGGCGGUACCUCGGUAGUGACUCUUGUUGACAUUUCCUCAUUCCUUUGUACUUGUCUUGAUCGUUGUUUCCUUAGCAUAUUAUUAAUGUCUUGCUCUGUGUUGUAAUAUUUGCUUAGUUCUGUGUAGCUAAUGUUGUUAUGUUAUUCAUUGUUUAAUUUUCAUUACUGUGUUAUUGCACUGUCUACAUUGUUCAGUCUUUUAUUUAUUUUCAGUAGGGUCCUAACUUGGCCUCGUCACUACUCUACCAAGGUUAGACUUGACACUUACUGGGUACCGUUGUGAUGUACUCAUGCUAUUAUUCUGCAUAUAUUUUUGUGUUGAUCCAGGUGCUUCCUACCAGCUCAGGCGUUAGUUGGGAUUCUAUUGCGGAGACUUCAAGGUAUACAUGUCGGCGUUCGCAGGUCUUAGAGUCCUCCUCUCUGUAGGUCUCUUAUUUUGUCAUCCUUAUUAUAUAGUCAUGAUAUAUAGAAUUAUAUAGUACUCAUAUUUAGAACUUAUGACUUGUAUUUUCAUCGGGUCUCGGGAUUUGUGUAUGCUGAGUUGAAGCGUUGUUUUAUAUAUAGUUGUUGAGUUUGAGAGGAUUAUUUACUAUUAUUUCAAUUAUUUUGCAUGCUGUUAGGCUUACCUAGUCUGAGAGACUAGGUGCCGUCACGACAUCCUACGAAUGAAAUUUGGGGUCGUGACAUUUACCUUUCGUAUAAGGAAGUUGAUUACCGUUUCUCUCUUGUUGAAUUCAGGUCUACCCCAGGGAUUAGUUGUCGUCCUUGAGGAGGACAUUUUGAAUAAUCAUGCUGACGUGGCGAGGCUGAAGGAGGAUUUUACCCGAACAUGUGUCUCUGAGCCUGCUUCUAGUGCAAGUGCUUUUUCUCGGAGUCCUCGGCCGGAGAACAAUCGACCAAAAAGAAGACGUUCUUCCGCGGCCGGGGAAAAAAUAAAAAGGCAAAGAGUGCCUCAUCUGAGUCGUCCAUAGACACCAUAGUGAUCGACAAUGAUGGAGAAGCCAACGAGGAUGAGGAUUCUCUACAUAGAAGAUGACGACCUUCCUCGGCUCAACAUGCUCAACCUGUUGAGUUAGUUACCCCAAUCGAGGAUGAUGCCUCGGCACUCUGGGGAGUAUUAUAUGGUGAAAAAUGCCAACUCCCGUUUUCGAAUCCUAAUCGUUGUGCCUGGUACCGCGAGGCUAGUACCGGGUCCCUACCGUCUUCAGUUGAUGAGAAUCCAACAAUCAGCAUUGCAUUUACCACAGCUGCUUCGCCAUCAGCUUUAUCUCCUUCUUCUCCAACUCUGCCUUCGCCACCAACAACUACUACAUCAUCUCCACCUGUAACGAUCCGGCCGGUCGUUUCAUGAAUUACCGCUCCAUUUCCCCCUUUUUUACUUCUUUAUGCUUGUUUCGUCUGUGUUAUAUGGUAUCGGGUUGGUCGGUUCAAAUUCGGAAUGAUUUUGGAAAGGUUUGAGACACUUAGUCUCUUUUGAGUAAGCUUAAGUUGGAAAAGUCAAUCAGAUGUUGACUUAUGUGAAAAAGGUCUCAAAUGUGAAUUUUGAUGGUUCGGAUAGCUUCAUGAGGUGAUUUGGGACUUAUGAGCGUGAUCGGAAUGUGUUUUGGAGGUCCAUAGCAGAUUUAGGCUUGAAUUGGCGAAAUUGGAAUUUUGGCAUUUUUCCGGUUGGUAAUGAAGAUUUUGAUAUAGGGGUCAGAACGUGAUUCCGGAAGUUGGAGUAGGUUCGUUGUGUCAUUUGUGACGUGUGCGCUAAAUUUCAGGUCAUUCAGAUGAGGUUUGAUAGACUUUUUGAUCAAAAGCGAAAUUUGGACGUUUUUGGAAACCUUAGGCUUGAAUCCGAUGUUAUUUUUUGAUUUGACGUUGUUUUAGGUGUUUCGAAGAUUGGUAUAAGUUUGGAUUGUGGUAUAUGACUUGUCCGUACUUUUGGUUGAGGUCCUAGGGAUGAUUUCGGGUGGUUGACGGGAAGUUUGGAGUUGGAAAUUUGCUGCUGAAGUUCCUGCCAUAACCGCACCUGCGACUUGGAGACCGCAGGUGCGGGCCCGUAAAAGCACAAGGAGGGUCGCAAAUGCGGCCAAGGUCGAGGAAGAUUGGAACCGUAGAUGCGGUGGUUCGAGCGCACCUGCGGCAGAUGCAGCUAAGGUCGUGGAGGUAAGGUUUUUGGACCCUAAACUUGUUUCUAUGAUGGUUUUAACUGUUUAAGCUUGAAAUCUAUGGAAAUUAGUAGCAAAAUUGGGGGUCUAGGGCUUGGAAAUUGGAGACCUUAACCUAGGGAUUUGAGGGGUCAAUUGUGGUCGGAUUUUGGUAUAUUUGCUACGCAUGGACUCGUGCGAGUGUAAGGAUUCCAGUUUUGUGAAUUUUAUCGGGAUCCGAGACGUGGGCCCGGGGGUCGGGUUUAGCCAAUUUCGAGAUUUUCUUUGGUGUUAAUUGGUUAUUUUGGAGUGGGAUUAUUCCCUUAGCAUAUUUUAAUGGUAUAAAUAUGUUUUUGGUUAGAUUUGGAGCAUUCGGAGGCCGAGUCGAGAGGCAAAGGCAUCGCGGGCUAGAAUUUGAACUUGAUAGAGGUAAGUAAUGAUUGUAAAUGCUGUCCUGAGGUUACGAAACCCCGGAUUUCACAUUGUUGUGCUACUUUGAGGUGAUGCACAUGCUAGAUGAUGAGCGUGGGGUCGUGCACCGUUAGGGAUUGUGACUUAGUCUGUCCCAUAUGAUUGUUAAGUCACGUAUUUGAUUAAAACUUAUUUGAUAUCAUCGUGUUUAGGAAAGUAUUAUUAUAUUUUGGGCUGAAUGCCAUAUUUGGGCCUCGUGCCAAUUGUUUUGGACCCUUAAGAGAUUUUUACUAAUAUUCCUCACUGUUUUGAUUUCAUAAAUUUUACUCAGUCAUGUUGUAUUCUACUAUUUUCAUAAACUCAGCCGUAUUUACUCCGUUUUGAUAUUCUAAAUGAUAUUUUGGGAUGAGCUUCAUGUUUUACUGUUUCUUGAGUGGCUUGAAAGGAUUCUGACUGAGUGAGGCCGGGGGCUUGAGUUGUGAGGAUUAUUAUAGGAUCGGGUUGUGCGCCGCAGCAUGUGUACUGGAUUAUGAUACAUGAGAGCCGAGGGCCUGAUUUGUUAUGCCACGAAAUGGCUUGUGAUAGCGCUUGGGCUGUAGGAGCCCCUCAAGGAGUCUGCACAGCCUCAGUGAGCGCAUGCACCCAGUGUGAGAUGUGAUAUUGCUUGAAGGGCUGUUGUUGUUUCAUGUUAUUGCCCGAGGGGCUGAUACGAGUGAUUGUGAGAUGGCCCGAAAGGCUGGUUCUGUUGAUAUUUUGCCCGAGGGGCAGUUGUGGUAUAUGUUUUGCCCGAGGGGUUGUUAACAUUUCUAUUCUUUUCUCACAGUUUUCAUCACUCGCUUGAAACUAUUGAAAGUUGUUUUAAAAAAAGGUUUUACUGAACUGAGAUGUUUUUACGAGUGUUAUUGCUUUACUUGCAUUGUUUUGGACUUAUAUUGUUUUGUUGUAGCGUCAUGCUGUGGUUUACGUGUUUUCUUACUACUCAACUGUCUUUACUUUUAUUACUUACUGAUUUGGCGUACUCACAUUACUCCAUGCACCCUGUGUGCAGAUCCAGGAGUCUCGGGUCACGAUAGCGAGUGCUGAUUUGGCUUCCAACAGGCUUUCGGAGUUGACUAGGUAGCUGCUUAGCAUUCGCAGCCCAGUGCUUCUCCUUCCUAUCUUUAUUCAGCUUUAUAUUAGCUUUGUUUCAGACUAUGUUGUCUUUUCAUAUUCCUAGACGAGUUGUAGUUGCUCAUGAUUGGUGACAUCCCGAUGUCGGGCCGUGUUUUAUCUCUGCACUGUUCUAUUCUAUCUUACAUUUUGGGAUUUUAGCUUAUUAAUGACUUUAAAUGACUUAUUAUAAUUGUUUGGUUGGUUUUGGGGUUUGUGUCAGUUGGCAUAUUUUCACGAUAUGCGUCAUCACGAUCGGCUCCGUUUUAGGGUCGUGACAAGUUGGUAUCAGAGCCUAAGUUACAUAGGUCUCACGAGUCAUGAACAGGUUUAGUAGAGUCUUACGGAUCGGUACGGAGACGUCUGUACUUAUCCUUGGGAGGCUGCAGAACCUUUUAGGAAAAACUUCAUACUCUUUAAUUCCUGUCGUGCGAAUCUGUUGAUUCUAGUACUAAACUUCUUUUAUUCUACUGAUAUUGAGGACACGUGCUACCGGUCAGGAUGGACGCCCACCAGUACCACUAGUUGUGGCCACUAUAGACCGAAGAUGCGAUAUAGGCCAUGGUAGGGGUAGGGGUGUAGUCCACACAGCAGCUAGGGCAGCACUUGCAGAUCCACCAGCCACCCCAGUUCAUAAUCAGGUCCCAGUUGUGGACACUCCAACAACACCAGCUUACGCACCAGGUGUGCUUAUUGUAAUUCCAAGCCUUCAGGAAGCCCUGGCCCAUAUUCUAUCAGGUGCUACUUUUAAGGAGGUUGUUGAUAUUGCUUGUAAGAUUGAGUCAGUUCGUAGCCAAGAGCGGGAUGAGAGGAAGGCCAAGAGGCCUCGGGGAUCUGGUAGUUUCGGUGGUGCUCCUUCGAGAGGUCACUUUUAGCACGGCAGAGUCCACCUAUUCAGGCAUGCUCAGUCAGCCCGUCCAGGUUAUCGUAGGGCAUCAUUGGAGCNNNNNNNNNNNNNNNNNNNNNNNNNNNNNNNNNNNNNNNNNNNNNNNNNNNNNNNNNNNNNNNNNNNNNNNNNNNNNNNNNNNNNNNNNNNNNNNNNNNNNNNNNNNNNNNNNNNNNNNNNNNNNNNNNNNNNNNNNNNNNNNNNNNNNNNNNNNNNNNNNNNNNNNNNNNNNNNNNNNNNNNNNNNNNNNNNNNNNNNNNNNNNNNNNNNNNNNNNNNNNNNNNNNNNNNNNNNNNNNNNNNNNNNNNNNNNNNNNNNNNNNNNNNNNNNNNNNNNNNNNNNNNNNNNNNNNNNNNNNNNNNNNNNNNNNNNNNNNNNNNNNNNNNNNNNNNNNNNNNNNNNNNNNNNNNNNNNNNNNNNNNNNNNNNNNNNNNNNNNNNNNNNNNNNNNNNNNNNNNNNNNNNNNNNNNNNNNNNNNNNNNNNNNNNNNNNNNNNNNNNNNNNNNNNNNNNNNNNNNNNNNNNNNNNNNNNNNNNNNNNNNNNNNNNNNNNNNNNNNNNNNNNNNNNNNNNNNNNNNNNNNNNNNNNNNNNNNNNNNNNNNNNNNNNNNNNNNNNNNNNNNNNNNNNNNNNNNNNNNNNNNNNNNNNNNNNNNNNNNNNNNNNNNNNNNNNNNNNNNNNNNNNNNNNNNNNNNNNNNNNNNNNNNNNNNNNNNNNNNNNNNNNNNNNNNNNNNNNNNNNNNNNNNNNNNNNNNNNNNNNNNNNNNNNNNNNNNNNNNNNNNNNNNNNNNNNNNNNNNNNNNNNNNNNNNNNNNNNNNNNNNNNNNNNNNNNNNNNNNNNNNNNNNNNNNNNNNNNNNNNNNNNNNNNNNNNNNNNNNNNNNNAAGGCCAAGAGGCCUCGGGGAUCUGGUAGUUUCGGUGGUGCUCCUUCGAGAGGUCACUUUUAGCACGGCAGAGUCCACCUAUUCAGGCAUGCUCAGUCAGCCCGUCCAGGUUAUCGUAGGGCAUCAUUGGAGCAUGGUUCUCACAGUUCUCAUCAGGGUCAUUCAUCACUUAGUGCCCUUCUAGCCCAGAGUUCGUCUCGUGCUCCAUCAGUUUAGGGCUCUUCUAUGCCAGGGGCAUUUGCUAGUCACUCUGGUGCUAGGUGUUCCCUUCAGUCCCCGUCUCUAGCAGCAGGGAGUUGUUAUGAGUGUGGAGAGUUGGGAUACAUGUGGAGGCAGUGUCCUCGUCGUCUUGGAGGUUCAUCCCAGCAGAAGAGUCAACCAUCAACUUCAACACCAGUUACUUCACCACCUACCCACCCAGCUAGGGGUGAAGGACAGUCAGCUAGGGGUCGCCCCAGAGGGGGAGGUUGAUUAGGUAGUGGUCAGGCCCCUUUUUACGCACUCAUCGCUAGACCUGAUGUUAUUGCUUCAAAUGUUGUGAUUACAGGUAUUGUCUCAGUCUGCCACAGAUAUGCCUCUGUAUUAUUUGAUCCCGGUUCCACUUUUCCAUAUGUGUCAUAUUAUUUUGCUCGUUAUUUGGAUACGCUCUGUGAGUCUCUUGUUUUAUCUGUUCGUGUAACUACGCUGGUAGGUGAUACUAUUAUUGUGGACCGUGUGUACCGAUCGUGUGUGGUGACUAUUGGUGGUUUGGAGACCUGAGUAGACCUUUUGUUGUUGUGUUUGGUGGACUUUGAUGUGAUAUUAAGCAUGGAUUGGCUAUAUUCGUGUCGUGCUAUAUUGGACUGUCAUGCUAAGAUAGUAACGUUGGCUAUGUCGGGUGUGCCACGGAUUGAGUGGCGAGGUUCGACUGAUUUUGUUCCCAGUAGGGUCAUUUCAUUUCUGAAGGCCCAGCGGAUGGUUAGGAAAGGUUGUCUUUCAUACUUAGACUUUGUGAGGGAUGUCAGUGUAGAGACUCCCAGUAUUGAUUCUGUUCCUAUAGUGAGGGAUUUUCCCGAUGUGUUUCCUGUAGACCUGUAGGGCAUGCCCCCAGAUAGGGAUAUUGAUUUUGGUAUUGACCUGGUGCCGAGCACUUAGCCCAUUUCUAUUUCAUCGUAUCGUAUGGCACUAGUAGAGUUGAAGGAGCAGCUUCAAGAACUCCUUGAUAAGGGGUUCAUUCGGCCUAGUGUGUCGCCAUGGGGUGCGCCUGUUCUAUUUGUGAAGAAAAAGGAUGGCACGAUGAGGAUGUGCAUUAAUUACAGGCAGCCGAACAAAGUAACAAUCAAGAACAAUUAUCCUUUACCUCGUAUCGAUGAUUUAUUUGACCAGCUUUAGGGAGAGAGAGUGUUCUCCAAGAUUGAUCUUCGUUCAGGUUAUCACCAGUUGAAGAUUAGGGACUCAAAAAUUCUUAAGAUAGCUUUCAGGACCCGAUAUGGUCAUUAUGAGUUCCUGGUGAUGUCUUUUGUGGGCUGACCAAUACCCUAAUAUCGUUCAUGCAUUUGAUGAACAACGUGUUUCGGCUUUAUCUCGACUCGUUCGUGAUUGUUUCAUUGAUGAUAUUUUGGUGUACUCGCGUAGUCACGAGGAGCAUGCGGAGCAUUUGAGAGUUGUGUUGCAGAGAUUGAGGGAGGAGAAACUUUAUGCACAGUUCUCCAAGUGUGAGUUUUGGCUCAGUUCAUUGGCAUUCUUGGGACAUGUGGUGUCUAGUAAGGGUAUUCAGGUUGAUCCAAAGAAGAUAGAGGCGGUUCAGAGUUGGCCCAGACCGUCCUCAGCCAUAGAGAUUCGCAGCUUCCUCAAUUUGGCAGGUUACUACCGUCGGUUCAUUCAGAGAUUUUCAUCUAUAGCAUCACCCUUGACCAAGUUGACUCAGAAGGGUACUCCAUUCUAGUGAUCGGAUGAGUGUGAGGCAAGCUUUCAGAAACUUAAGACUGCCUUGACCACAACUCCAGUGUUAGUUUUGCUAUCAGCUUCAGGUUCAUAUACCGUGUAUUAUGAUGCUUCGAGAGUUGGUAUUGGGUGUGUGUUAAUGUAGGAGGGUAGAGUUAUUGCUUAUGCUUCUCGUCAGUUGAAGCCCUAUGAGAAGAACUACCAUGUUCAUGAUUUGGAGUUGGCUGCCAUUGUUCACGCAUUGAAGAUUUGGAGGCAUUAUCUUUAUGGUGUAUCUUGUGAGGUGUUUACUGAUCAUCAUAGCCUCCAGCACUUGUUCAAACAGAAGGAUCUCAAUUUGAGGCAGCAGAGAUGGUUGGAGCCGCUAAAGGAUUAUAAUAUUAUUAUCUUGUACUAUCCGGGGAAGGCCAAUGUAGUGGCUGAUACUUUGAGUAGGAAGGCGGUGAGUAUGGGGAGUUUGGAGUAUACUUCUGUUUGGGAGAGAUCUUUUGUAGUUGAUGUUUAGGCCUUGGCCAAUUUCGUGAGGUUGGAUAUUUUGGAGCCCAGUCGGGUAUUGGCUUGCGUGAUUUCUCAGUCUUCCUUAUUUGAUCGCAUCAGAGAGCGUCAGUAUGGUGAUCCUCAUUUGCUUGUCCUUAAAGACAAAGUUCAGCACGACGAUGCCAGAGAUGUGACUAUUGGUGAUGAUAGGGUAUUGAGGAUGCAGGGCCGGAUAUGCGUGCCAAAUGUAGAUGGGCUUUGGGAGUUGAUUUUGGAGGAGGCCCAUAGCUCACGGUAUUCCAUUCAUCCGGGUGCCGCAAGAUGUAUCAGGAUCUGAGGCAGCAUUAUUAGUGGAGGAGCAUUAAGAAGGACAUUGUGUGAUUUGUAGCUCGGUGUCUCAAUUGUCAGUAGGUGAAAUAUGAGCAUCAGAGACCGGGUGACUUGCUUCAGCAGAUGGAUAUUCCAGAGUGGAAGUGGGAGCGGAUCACCAUGGACUUCGUAGUUGGGCUCCACGGACUUUGAAGAAGUUCGAUGCUAUUUGAGUGAUUGUGGAUCGACUGACCAAGUCCACGCACUUCAUUCCUGUGUGUACUACCUAUUCUUCAGAGCGGUUGGCAGAUAUCUAUAUCCGAGAGAUUGUUCGUUGGCAUGGUGUCCCAGUUUCCAUCAUAUCAGAUGGGGGUACUCAGUUUACUUUGCAGUUUUGGAGAGUCGUGUAUAGAGAGUUGGGUACUCAGGUUGAGUUGAGCACAACUUUUCACCCUCAGAAGGACGGGCAGUCCGAGCGCACUAUUCAGAUAUUGGAGGACAUGUUACGCGCUUGUGUCAUUGAUUUUGGAGGGUCAUGUGAUUAGUUUCUACCGCUCGCGGAGUUUGCCUAUAACAAUAGUUAUCAGUCGAGUAUUCAGAUGGCUCCAUAUGAGGCUUUAUAUGGGAGGCGGUGCAGAUCUCCAGUUGGUUGGUUUGAGCCCGGCGAGGCUAGGCUUUUGGGUACAGACUUGGUGCAAGAUGCUUUGGACAAGGUGAAGGUGAUUCAGGAGCGGCUUCAUACAACACAGUCGAGACAAAAGAGUUAUGAUGUCAAAAAGGUUUGGGAUGUGUCCUACAUGGUUGGGGAGAAGGUUCUACUGAAGGUUUCACCCAUGAAGGGUAUUAUGAGAUUUGGGAAGAAGGGUAAAUUGAGCCCUCGGUUCAUUGAGCUUUUUGAGGUGCUUCGGAGGAUUGGGAGGUGGCUUAUAAACUUGCUUUGCCACCCAGAUUGUCGAGUGUGCAUCCGAUAUUUCAUGUUUCUAUGCUCCAGAAUUAUAUUGGAGAUCCAUCUCAUGUUUUGGAUUUCAUCACGGUUCAGUUAGAUGGUGAUCUGACCUAUGAUAUAGAGCCAGUAACUAUUUUGGAGCGUUAGGUUUGAAAGUUGAGAUCAAAGGAUAUAACUUCAGUGAAAGUGCAGUGGAGANNNNNNNNNNNNNNNNNNNNNNNNNNNNNNNNNNNNNNNNNNNNNNNNNNNNNNNNNNNNNNNNNNNNNNNNNNNNNNNNNNNNNNNNNNNNNNNNNNNNNNNNNNNNNNNNNNNNNNNNNNNNNNNNNNNNNNNNNNNNNNNNNNNNNNNNNNNNNNNNNNNNNNNNNNNNNNNNNNNNNNNNNNNNNNNNNNNNNNNNNNNNNNNNNNNNNNNNNNNNNNNNNNNNNNNNNNNNNNNNNNNNNNNNNNNNNNNNNNNNNNNNNNNNNNNNNNNNNNNNNNNNNNNNNNNNUGGCCGGUCGUUUCAUGAAUUACUGCUUCGUUUUCCCCUUUUCUGCUUCUUUAUUCUUUGUUCAUCUGUGUUAUAUGGUAUUGGGUUGGUCGGUUCGAAUUCGGAAUGAUUUUGGAAAGGUUUAAGACAUUUAGUCUCUUUUGGGUAAGCUUAAGUUGGAAAAGUUAACCGGAUAUUGACUUAUGUGAAAAAUGUCUCAAAUGUGAAUUUCGAUGGUUUUGAUAGCUUCGUGAGGUGAUUUGGGACUUAGGAGCGUGAUCAGAAUGUGUUUUGGAGGUCCGUAGUAGAUUUAGGCUUGAAUUGGCGAAAUUGGAAUUUUGGUAUUUUUUCGGUUGGUAGCGGAGAUUUUGAUAUAGGGGUCGGAACAUGAUUCUGGAAGUUGGAGUUGGUCCGUUUUUUCAUUUGUGACGUGUGUGCUAAAUUUCAGGUCAUUCGGACGAGGUUUGAUAGACUUUUUGAUCAAAAGCGAAAUUUGGGUAUUUUUGGAAACCUUAGGCUUGAAUCCGAUGUUAUUUUGUUUAUUUGACAUUGUUUUAGGUGUUCUGAAGAUUGGUAUAAGUUUGGAUAGUGGUAUAUGACUUGUUCGUACUUUUAGUUUAGGUCGCGGGGGCCUCGGGAUAAUUUCGGGUGGUUGACGGGAAGUUUGGAGUUGGAAAUUUGCAGCUGAAGUUGCUGAAAUUCCUAUUAUAACCGCACUUGCGGCUUGGGGACCGUAGGUAGGGGCCCGCAGAAGCGCAAGGAGGGUCGCAAAUACGGCCAAGGUCGAGGAAGAUUGGAACUACAGAUGCGGUGGUUCGAGCGCACCUGCGGCAUCGCAGGUGCGGGAUUCUGAUCGUAGGUGCGAUUCUUGAGCGGAUAAGUGACUUUCGCAGAUGCGCACCUGGGAACGCAGGUGUGGGUCCGUAGGUGCAAGAUUUUGACUGCAUAAGCGGUUUAGCUGGGGCAGAACAUAUAAAUUAAGUCCUUUGCAAAUGUUUGGUUAUUCCACCAUUUUCACAUACGGGUUUGAGCUUGGGAGAGCAAAUUGAAGAGGGAAUUCAAGAGAGUUUCGUGGAGGUAAGGUUUUUGGACCCUAAACUUGUUUCUAUGAUAGUUUUAACUGUUUAAGCUUGAAAUCUUUGGAAGUUAGUAGCAAAAUUGGGGGUCUAGGGCUUGGAAAUUGGAGACCUUAACCUAGGGAUUUGAGGGGUCAAUUGUGGUCGGAUUUUGGUAUAUUUGGUAUGCAUGAACUCGUGAGAGUGUAAGGAUUCCAAUUUUGUGAAUUUUAUCGGGAUCUGAGACGUGGGCCCAGGGGUCGGGUUUUUAUUUAAGAUCUAUACUGAGUCAUGUUGUAUUUACUGAUUUCAUAACUUAGUCUUUAUUACUCCAUUUUGAUGCAUAAAAUAAUAUUUUGGGCUAAGCACCCUGUUUUACUGAUAGCCCAAGUGACUAGAUAGGUUUCUAACUGAGUGAGGCCGAGGUCCUUUGUUGUGAGGAUAUUAUGGGAUCGGGAUGCACGUCGCAGAAUGUUGUUAUUGAUUCAUGAUUUUUAUGAGGCCGUGUGUUAGACCCCAUAUUUUCUUAAAUGAAAAUACACCAUAAAUAAAUUAAUUAAUGAGAGCUCGGAAGUGAGAUAUUACGUCCCGCAUUUUGUACGUUGAUGUUUCGUCGUAAGUUAAUCAGCGUAAGCUCGGAAAUGAGAUUAGUUUGGAAUUAUAAGUAUUAUGCUAUUUCAAACAAGGAAUAAGUAAAUUAGUGAAGGUGAAAGGGUAAGCGAAUCGAAGGAAAUGAGUUUCGUUGAAGUUUGACAUUCUGGGAUAAAAACGGUCCGAGCUAUAAUACUCGGUAUUUAUGGACUAGUACCAUAUAAGGUACCACACGACCAUAAUAGUAAGGUGUAUAAGGUAUGUAAAAAGUAAGUAAUAUUUUAAGUAAGUGGAAAUAAUUCUCAAUUUUGCGGAUAAUUAAUUAAUUACCGGGUAACGGAACACUACCUAAUUACUUAAUAAGUAGAUAAAGAUUAAAACACCCCACCCCUACCCCCACGUGGAAGCCCCCCAAUUCUUACACUGUGACUCAUGCCUUCAUUAAAUUAUGUGGCUUGAUGUGGUAAGUAAUGUUUUCUUUUGGCGGCUGAGUUGUGCCAAGUUAGGCAUUAAUUAGUUGGUAUUUAAAAUUACUAGUUUGACUUAUUCCGGUGCAUGUGGAGAGAAUAGCACUCUUUAAAGUUUUUAUAAAGCUCUAAUCAAGAUUCUUGUGUUAAAAAUGAAUCAAUCCCAAAUCCUACCAUACUCAAGGCUAACGAAUCCUAGGAAUAUUAAUGUCAAGCUAGGAGUUUUUCCUAUUGAAUUAUUUCAUACUAAUCUGUAUGAAGAUCUCAAGAGUGUAGAUGGAAUAACCAUGUAUCAUAUGUGAUGUACACAUAUCCAAAUUUCGUGAGAUCAAUAUCGUAAUGGAAUAAAUCUUUAUGGGAGGAACGUGACAAUUUGGGUUGGAAUUCACUGCACUGUGUUGUCUAUCUAGGAUUGAAAGAAGUAGUUUCUGAUAUGCUGGGGCGAAAUAAAUCCUGAAGCCUGCAUUUCAGCAUGCAGUGAAAAUCACUGGACAACAACAAUUUACAUUGUAGCCAGUGAAGGUGAUGUAAGUAUGAUAAACGAGAUUUCAAAGCACUCCACUUUGUCAAUGUAGCGUGAGAUUUUUGCAAAUUUUAAGGAGUACGGUGUAAUCUUUCUUAAGAGAAUUGGCUCAGGUAUGUUAAGGUUAUCUCUUCUUUCUUUUGGCAUGAUUCAUACGAUACAAAUGAAACAUGCAAAUGCAAAAAUUCCAUAAAUGACUCUAUUCAUAGAAGUAUUAGAGAUAUCUAUAUUCUUGAAUUUCCAUGUGUCAUAAUAUUUUAUCAUCUGUUCACCGGCCUCAGAAAAAUAUAAAAGUUGAAAAGAGUUUACUUUAUGAUAGUACUCAAAAGCAAAAUGGUCUUGUGAAGCUCCGAAAGAUUUUAUUAACGUAUUUUUCAUGCAUUGCAUACAUAUGCAUUGACCCAUGACCAGAUGACGUUAUAUACGCGUAUAUAUGUAAAUAUAUGUAUAUGGGAUAUGGGAAAAGAUUACGGCGUUAUAUAUGCACCACCACCUGAUCAGCUGGUAUAUGAUAAUGAUGUUGCCCACAAUGGAUGAAAUAUGACUCAAACGGUGUUAUAUACACGUAUAUAUGUAUCUAUAUAUAUGUAUAUGGGAUAUGAGAAAGGUUAUGGCAUUAUAUACGCAUCACCACCUGAUCGGCUGGUAUAUGAUGAUGAUGUUGCCCGCAGUGGCUAAGAUAUGAUUCAAAUGGCAUUAUAUACGCAUAUAUAUGUAUGCAUAUAUAUGUAUAUGGGAUAUGGGAAAGGUUAUGGCGUUAUAUACGCACAACCACCUGAUCAACUGGUAUACAAUGAUGAUUUUGCCCAUAGUGGCUGAUAUGAUAUGAUGGGAUGCCCUCAGAGGCUGAUGAUGUUAUGAAACAUGUACCUAUGCACGACAUGACAUCCAUACGCAUAUGCAUGACGCUAAAACUAAUUUAUGAUUUACAAAGUUAUUCAGACUUACAGGUUGAGUCAUGUACUCUAUAUUUAUUACAUGUCUCGUAUGUAUUUAUUUAUGUGCCUAACAUACUCGGUACAUUAUUCGUACUGACAUCCCUUUUGCCUGGGGAUGCUGCGUUUCAUGCCCACAAGUCCCGAUAGACAGGUCGAGAGCCCUCCAAGUAGGCUAUCAGUUCAGCGGAAGAUGUUGCUAUGCUCCAUUUGCUUCGGAGUUGCUCAUUUGGUUAGUAUGAUUUAGACGUGUAUUAUUUGGUAUGGCGGGACUCUGUCCCGACCUUUAUAACAUUGUGUACUUUUAGAGGCUUGUAGACAUAUGUCGUGUACAUAAAAGAUUGUACGGCCUUAUUGGCCUAUGUUUUGAGUUUAUAAACGAUCAUGUUGGCCUAUUAAGCCCGUAUGUCAUGUUUAUAUGAUGAUGUAAUAAGAAAGAUACAUUAUGUUGGUACUCGAUUGAGUAAGGUAUCGGGUGCCCGUCGCGGCCCAUGGGUUGGGGUCGUGACAAAAGUGGUAUUAGAGUAGUUCUGUUCUAGGGAGUCUACAAGUCGUGUCUAGUAGAGUUUUUUAUGGGUGUGUCGUGCACCACACUUAUAAGCAUGAGGCUACAGGGCAUUUAAGACUGUCAAUCUUUCUUCUUACUCUAGAUCGUGUGGUAGAGCACACUUAUAUGAAUUCAAGUCCCAAACUUCUAUUUUUGUUCGUAAUAAGAUGACGCCUACGUUCAGAAAGAUGAUCGAUAAGAGAUAUAGUUGUGGAAGUGUUGAAUUAGAGUAACUCUACUUUGAAUCAUGCUUAUGAUAAGUAAAUGUGAGAUCUUCAGCAGAUCAUGUGCGUACUGAAAGGUGUAAGCUUCUUGAUAAGGAGCCUUAAGGAGAGAAUGCCUGUCCACCUUUAUGGUGAAAGACAAUGAGAGAUUAAGAAGAUAAAUACAAGUUUCAACAAGAAAAAUAAGCAAGAUGAAGAAGGGUACGAGGCGCCUAGUUAACAAAGGUUAACAAUGUUUAUAACUCAGGCAGAGGAACAUAAGCUUUUUGAGUUAUAUUCAAUAGUAACAGGGGUAUAUACAAUUGGUCACACCUAUUCCAGAUAUGCCCUAUAGGGUUUAAUAGAAGUAGUAUAAGAAGAUAUGAUGGGUGAAUUGUUUGUGUCAGUUGACAUUUCUGAAAGAUAUUGCAAAUGUGUUAAUAGAUCUCCUUGUGAGACACCCAGAAGGUACACUUUAAAAUAGUGCAGCCAGAUAUGAGUACUACAAAGACAUGCACUAUAAGCCUUGAAGGGAUACAUAUUACCUUAGUGUGGCCUGCGUCCCUAGUAAAGCGAGAACGUUAAGCAACUUAGAGAGCCACUGGAUGGAGCAAAGGGAAGCUAAAAGAAAAAGAAUGUCUUGUUCGAGUUUGCAGAAUAAAGUGAUAGGCAUAAAUGUUGGCGGGAAAUAAGAAAAGAGUUAACAAACCAUUAUGAGUAAGAUGUGAUACAUGGAUGACAAUGGUAGAUGAAAAGAUGUCAAUAUUACAAAAUCUAUAGUCAAGUGAAUGAAGAAACGAGAAGUGACAGGCCUUAGGACAACAAAAGAGUAUAGGCCAUACAAUCAUGUCCUCAUUUCGAGAAAUAAGUUCGCAACUCUAGCGUGGUUACCAAGAGGAAAAGUUAGACCCCAGAGUAAUAGAACCAGUAUAAAUUGGUGAACAAGAUAAACUAAACAUGAAUUAGGGACUGAGUGACUGAUAAUAGUCGCCAUCAUAAGAAUUUCAGAUUUUGUUCUGCCAAUAAUAAAAUGGAUGACAAAAGAAUAUUCAUGAGAAAUUCAGAGAAUGGUCAUUUAGAAAAACGCUUCCCUACAGCAAGCAAUGUGAGCAAAUUUCAGCUUAAGGGAUUGUAUGUGCCAGUUAUACUAAGUUCAACCCUCGUGAGUAAGCAAUUUUUCUAUCCUUGGUAUGGAAGGAUUACCGUAAGGCGAGUAAGGGUCAUCGAUGAUGUGAAAGGAUGCCAAAGAUGAAAAGGUGAAACAUCUAUAGGCAGGUCGUCAUAGCUCCCAUUCUUAGUACUCCCCUAAAGGGGGGAAUAUGGCAUGAUAAAAGGAAGAAUGCGAUAAAAAUGAGAAAGGGAUGAGAUUGCACUUAUCCAAAUGCUAUAGAUAUGCUAUGAUUCCAGAACGUUAUACAAACGUGACGUCAAGGAGAAGAACUACGGGUUAUUUCCCAAGAUGUUAUUGAUAAUUAAGGAUCCAGUGUGAGACAUAAGUUAAGACUAAGGAAAUAACCCAAGAAAGAUUACGAGAAAUAUUGAUAUGAGAAUGAGCCAAUGAGUAGUUAGUGGUCAGGAAGAUCCCAGUUAUGGCCAAAUAGGAGGUUAUAGACAAGUCAUCAAAUCCUGUAAGAUAAACAUAGUAUAACCCAACGUGAAAAAUUCAGCCUCAAAGAGUAUCAUUAUAAUACUUGAGAUAUAUUCAAACAAGAGUUGGGGUAGUUAAAGGUACCGUAUAAGUAUUAUGGGGAUAAAAGAAAGUGCCACUGGAAAGGCAGUCAAAAUAUUAGUUCAGAAGCAACCCUAUAAGAACAAGGGCGUGGAGAUAAGUAACUACGGAUAAGUAUAGGCAAGGAAGGACAUCAGAAGGUCUGUCGAGUAUACAAUGUAAUAAGCUCACAACUUUACAAGAUUCAGAGGGUCUUCCCUAAGUGCUACGAUGAAAGACUAGCUGAGAAAAUAAGGAAGAAGGCUUCAACCUCGGCACAAUGACCUAAAGAGGAAAUGGUCGUGGGACAAUAGUCUCAAAACAACAUUGUAUGCACUCCCUAAGAAAGUGGCACCUAUAGUGGCUAAUGGAUAGGGAGUAAAAUCAGAAGUGAUAUUCAAGAUCAUAUGAGUUGUAUGGAAUUUCAUAUAUGUGGGCACUAAGAUAAGCUAAGUAUGGAUGCAACAAGGGGGCAGAAAGAUCAGGAAAAGUAAUAGCUUACGUUUAAAGAAAGCUAAGAUGAAAAAAGGGAUUAUUCGAUCGAUGAUUCAGAGUUGGUUACGUUAUGAACGCACGUAAGGGUUCGGAGUUUUAUACAUACAACAUAUACAACCAUAGAAGAUUCUGGUAUAUAUUAAAAGAAAGAAAUGAGCCUAGGUCACAAACGAAGGAUUAAGCUGUUAAAGGAUUGUAUCAUGCAUAUCCCAUAAGUGCCAUGAAGGGCUAAAAGUAAUAACUAACACCAUGUGCUGCAGAUCAGAAGAUAGCUUAAAGCCGGUUAGAAAAUACUAGCCUCAUAAGAAUUCAGUAUGGAACUCCCAUCAGAUUGUAUAGGCACCAGAGGUGCAAGUAUUAUAAUAGAGUUUUAAAUUAUGGAUGUGAAUUCUACCUAUAUGGAAGGAAGGUCAUGAAGGAGAUAGAAGAUGUGAUACGAAACAUUAAAGUACGUAAGGUAAAGGUAAAUAACGUACGAGAUGCAGAAGAUUGUGAAUACUCCAUAGUUCAGGUAGAAAGCGCGUGGAUUCAGUAUCCAGGAUUAAUAGCUGCAUCAUCAGUAGCAUAUCCUCCAGCCUAUGGUCUAGGUAUCGAGAAGCCUGAUUAAGAGAAUAAAGAAGAGUCAGAGACGAUGUGAUGUCUCGCUUGACGUUCUAGAAUAACAUAAGGAAAUCUAUGGUGCAAGCAAGUUGAAGAAAGGUUGCGAGUAGUAUAAAUGGAUAUGUAUAGGUCGCAAGCUGAAGUAUGGUAGAGCGACAAAGUUUUAAGAAGACAUAAGUAAGGAUAAGGAAAGGCAAAUGAAAAGGGUACAAGAAUGGAUAAGUCCUCGGGAUUAGGCCCAUGAAAACAAGGGAGCUAAUGGCUUCUCUAGGUUAUAGUAAGCUCAGUAUAGCCUGAAUGGACUCAAAGGAGUUACUCUUCAUAAGUAGCAUCUAGAAGAAAUGGAAUGCUGCCCUAAUAGUAGAAUAAGGGUGUAAUUGUGAUAAAUAAAGGAUGACGUUUGGGCCUUCAAUUGAGUAAUGAUCGGACGAUGAAAAGAAAAGGACCUCAUGACUUAGACAUGAUUAAAAUAAUCAUGCAAGGUGAAUCACAUUGGGGUGCGGUGAGAUACGGUUAUGAAAGUAUGGUAUCGCCCCAGGUGGAUCAAUCUAAUCAUUUCAGAUGUUCCCCGAUAAAACAUGAAUCCUAGCGGCAGUAUUACAUAAAAAUGUUAAGUUAUCAGGGGUGGAUUAUGGAUCAAAAUUGAGGUAAAUCAACAAUGGAUAGAUAAAAGUUAUAAAAUAUGAGAGGAGAUUAGGUCGUCAUUCUUAAGAUGAACAGUAAUGUGGAAGUAUUAGAGGACAUAAAUUUAUACGUAUGGGAUAAGAAAUGAAAAUAGCUUGGAAUUUGGUAGCAGACCUCAGUAACGAGAAAUCAAGGUAAGAGUUAUGGUAUAGUACGACCUACAUAGAUGCAGUAAAAUCAUAUGAAUGUAUAACCAGGUCUAUGAAAUAAGAUGUAGCAAUAAUCGUAAAUUCAACAAAGUACCGAGGGAAGAACUUCAAACAUAUCUAUAGACACCCAAAGGGACACUUUAUCAUAAUUCUAUAUAUGUUCAAAGUGAAGCCCAGAGAUUGGCUAAAAGCUAGAGGAAAAAGGAGGCAAGAGUCGCAUAGGCUUACAUACAAGGAAAAAGUCAUACAGGCUUCAUGACAAAAGGUAGCAACAAUUGCGAGAUUGGAAGAAUUACGAGUCGUGGUGUGAAAAAUAGGCCUAAAGGGGGGAAUGCCCUGGCCUUUGGACUUAUUCGCAGAACAGUUGCCUAGAUGGAAAGAGGAGUACUAGAGUAUUCGCAAGAGCUAUGGGAUAUGAGGAUGAUAAGCGCAUCGGUUAACAUUCGAGGAUGAAUGUUCCAAAGGGGGGGAUGAUGUUAGAUCCCAUAUUUUCCUACAUGAAAAUACGCCAUAAAUAAAUUAAUUAAUGAGAGCUCGGAAGUGAGAUGUUACGUUCCACAUUUUUGUACGUUGAUGUUUCAUCGUAAGCUAAUCAACGUAAGCUUGGGAAUGAGAUUAGUUUGGAAUUAUAAGUAUUAUGCUAUUUCAAACAAGGAAUAAGUAAAUUAGUGAAGGUGAAAGGGUAAGCGAAUCGAAGGAAAUGAGUUUCGUCGAAGUUUGACAUUUUGGGAUAAAAACGGUCCGAGCUAUAAUACUCGUUAUUUAUGGACUAGUACCAUACAAGGUACCACAUGACCAUAAUAGUAAGAUGUAUAAGGUAUGUGAAAAGUAAGUAAUAUUUUAAGUAAGUGGGAAUAAUUUUCAAUUUUGCAGGUAAUUGAUUAAUUACCGGGUAACGAAACACUACCUAAUUACUAAAUAAGUAGAUAAAGAUUAAAAAACCCUACCCCUACCCCCACGUGGAAGCCCCCCCCAAUUCCUACACUGUGACUCAUGCCUUCAUUAAAUUAUGUGGCUUGAUGUGGUAAGUAAUGUUUUCUUUUUGUCGCUGAGUUGUGCCAAGUUAGGCAUUAAUUAGUUGGUAUUUAAGAUUACUAGUUUGACUUAUUGAGGUGCGUGUGGAGAGAGUUGCACUCUUUAAAGUUUUUAUAGAGCUCUAAUCAAGAUUCUUGUGUUAAAAAUGAAUCAAUCCCAAUUAUCCUACCAUACUCAAGGCCAACGAAUCCUAGGAAUAUUAAUGUCAAGCUAGGAGCUUUUCCUAUUGAAUUAUUUCAUACUAAUCUGUAUGAAGAUCUCAAGAGUAUAGAUGGAAUCAUGUAUCAUAUGUGACAUACACAUAUCCAGAUUUCGUGAGAUCAGUAUCGUAAUGGAAUAAAUCUUUAUGGGAGGAACAUGACAAUUUGGGUUGGAAUUCACUACACUGUGUUGUCUAUCUAGGAUUGAAAGAAGUAGUUUCUGAUAUGCUGGGGCAAAAGAAAUCCUUAAGCCUGCAUUUCAGCAGGCAGUAAAAAUCACUGGACAAUAACAAUUUACAUUGUAGCCAGUGAAGGUGAUGUAAGUAUGAUAAACGAGCUUUCAAAGCACUCCACCUUAUCAAUGUAGCGUGAGAUUUUUGCGAAUUUUAGGGAGUACGGUGUAAUAUUUCUCAAGAGAAUUGGCUCAGGUAUGUUAAGGCUAUCCCUUCUUUCUUUUGGCAUGAUCCAUAUGAUACGAACGAAACGUGCAAAUACACAAAUUUCAUAAAUAACACUAUUCAUAGAAGUAUUAGAGAUAUCUAUGUUCUUAAAUUUCCAUGUGUCAUAAUAUUUUAUCAUCUAUUCAUAGGUCUCAAAAAAAUAUGAAAGUUGAAAAGAGUUUACUUUAUGAUAUUACUCAAAGGCAAAAUGGUCUUGUGAACCUCCAAAAAAUUUUAUUAACGUACUUUUCAUGCAUUGCAUACAUAUGCAUUGACCCAUGACCAGAUGACGUUAUAUAUGCGUAUAUAUAUAAAUAUAUGUAUAUGGGAUAUGUGAAAAAGAUUACGGCAUUAUAUAUGCACCACCACCUGAUCAGCUGGUAUACGAUAAUUAUAUUGCCCACAAUGGCUGAAAUAUGACUCAAACGGUGUUAUAUACGCGCAUAUAUGUAUGUAUAUAUAUGUCUAUGGGAUAUGGGAAAGGUUAUGGCGUUAUAUACGUAUCACUACCUGAUCGGAUGGNNNNNNNNNNNNNNNNNNNNNNNNNNNNNNNNNNNNNNNNNNNNNNNNNNNNNNNNNNNNNNNNNNNNNNNNNNNNNNNNNNNNNNNNNNNNNNNNNNNNNNNNNNNNNNNNNNNNNNNNNNNNNNNNNNNNNNNNNNNNNNNNNNNNNNNNNNNNNNNNNNNNNNNNNNNNNNNNNNNNNNNNNNNNNNNNNNNNNNNNNNNNNNNNNNNNNNNNNNNNNNNNNNNNNNNNNNNNNNNNNNNNNNNNNNNNNNNNNNNNNNNNNNNNNNNNNNNNNNNNNNNNNNNNNNNNNNNNNNNNNNNNNNNNNNNNNNNNNNNNNNNNNNNNNNNNNNNNNNNNNNNNNNNNNNNNNNNNNNNNNNNNNNNNNNNNNNNNNNNNNNNNNNNNNNNNNNNNNNNNNNNNNNNNNNNNNNNNNNNNNNNNNNNNNNNNNNNNNNNNNNNNNNNNNNNNNNNNNNNNNNNNNNNNNNNNNNNNNNNNNNNNNNNNNNNNNNNNNNNNNNNNNNNNNNNNNNNNNNNNNNNNNNNNNNNNNNNNNNNNNNNNNNNNNNNNNNNNNNNNNNNNNNNNNNNNNNNNNNNNNNNNNNNNNNNNNNNNNNNNNNNNNNNNNNNNNNNNNNNNNNNNNNNNNNNNNNNNNNNNNNNNNNNNNNNNNNNNNNNNNNNNNNNNNNNNNNNNNNNNNNNNNNNNNNNNNNNNNNNNNNNNNNNNNNNNNNNNNNNNNNNNNNNNNNNNNNNNNNNNNNNNNNNNNNNNNNNNNNNNNNNNNNNNNNNNNNNNNNNNNNNNNNNNNNNNNNNNNNNNNNNNNNNNNNNNNNNNNNNNNNNNNNNNNNNNNNNNNNNNNNNNNNNNNNNNNNNNNNNNNNNNNNNNNNNNNNNNNNNNNNNNNNNNNNNNNNNNNNNNNNNNNNNNNNNNNNNNNNNNNNNNNNNNNNNNNNNNNNNNNNNNNNNNNNNNNNNNNNNNNNNNNNNNNNNNNNNNNNNNNNNNNNNNNNNNNNNNNNNNNNNNNNNNNNNNNNNNNNNNNNNNNAUGGUGUUAUAUAUGCACCACUACCUGAUCACCUUGUAUAUGAUGAUGAUUGCCCACAGUGACCAAUAUGAUAUGAUGGGAUGCCCUCAGAGGCUGAUGAUGUUAUGAAACAUGUACCUAUGCACGACAUGACAUUCUUACGCAUAUGCAUGACGCUAAAAGUAAUUUAUGAUUUACAGAGUUAUCAGACUUACAGGUUGAGUCAUGUACUCUAUAUUUCUUCCAUGUCUCUUAAGUAUUUAUUUAUGUGCCUAACAUACUCGGUACAUUAUUCAUACUGACGUCCCUUUUGCCCGGGGACACUGCGUUUCAUGUCUGCAGGUCUUGAUAGACAUGUCGAGAGCCCUCCAAGUAGGCUAUUAGCUCAAUGGAAGAUUUUGGUACGCUCCAUUUGCUUCGGAGUUACUCGUUUGGUUAGUAUGAUUUAGACGUGUAUUCUUUAGUAUGGCGGGACUCUGUCCCGACCUUUAUGACAUUUAUAUACUCUUAGAGGCUUGUAGACAUACGUGUACAUAAAAGAUUGUACGGCCUUAUCGGCCUAUGUUUUGUGUUUAUAAAGGAUCAUGUUGGCCUAUUAGGCCCGUAUGUCAUGUGUAUAUGAUGAUGUAAUAAGAAAGAUACGUUACAUUGUUACUCGAUUGAGUAAGGUACCAGGUGCCCAUCGCGGCCCAUGGGUUGGGGUCGUGACACCGCAUGCCUGAUUGAUUUAUGCCACGAUGUGGCUUGUUAUAGCGUUUGGGCUGUAGGAUCCCCUCCGGAGUCUAUACACCCCCAGUGAGCAUGGGUACCCUAAGUGAGUGAUAUGAUAUUUUGAUCGAGGGGUUGUUCUUGUUUUAUGUCAUGCCCGAGGGGUUGUUUACGAGUGAUUGUGAUGUAUGCCCAAGGGGCUGUAUAUGAGUGACAGUGAUGUUUGCCCGAGCGGCUGUUUAUGAUUCAUGUUGCCGGAUGGGUUGUAUACGAGUGAUGUUUGUCCGAGGGGCUGAUUAUGAUUUAUGUUGCCCGAGGGGCUGUAUAUGAGUGAGUUUUUCCCGAGGGGCUGAUUAUGCUUUCAUCAUUUUUACUCACUAUUUUAUCACUUCGUUUGAAAACUGUUGAAAGAUGUCUUAAAUGGUUUUAUUGAAACUGGAUUCAAAUGAGCCGAAUUGACUGAAAACCCUGAUUUUAAAUGCAAGUUGUAUUCUACUGAGAUUUCAUGAUAUGAACUGUAUAUAUUUUAUUGCUCGUCACCACUGCUUAGACUUUACUUACCUUUAUUACUCACUGAGUUGGCGUACUCACAUUACUUCCUGCACCUUGUGUGCAGAUCCAUGUAUUUCUUAACCCGAUAGCGGGUAUUGAUUACUCAGUGGCAGGUCCAUCGAAGUUAGUAAGGUAGUUGUCUGGUGAUCGCAACCCUAUUUUUAUCCCUCCUUAUCCUCCCUUAGUUGUAUUCAAUUAUUUCUAGGCUAUGUUAGUCUUGAUAUUGUCAGACGAUUGUAGUAGAUGGUCAUGACUAGUGACACGCCGAUGUCGGGCUUUCUUUCCGCACUGUGUUUUGAUUUAAACUCCUCAUGCAGGUUUAUUGUUAAAUAGCUUUGGUUUUGUCUUAAAAAUAAAUAUAUUGAUUGGUUUUGGUAGUGUGUCAGCUUGCCUAGUACCACAUUAGGCGCCAUCACGACAAGGUUAUUUUUGGAUCGUGACAAGUUGGUAUCAGAGCCUAGGUUACAUAGGUCUCAUAGUCAUGAUCAAAUUUAGUAGAGUCUAACGGAUUGCUACAGAGACGUCUGUAUUUAUCUUCGAGAGGCUGCAGAACCUUUAGAAAAUCCCAUAUUCUUGAAUUCUUAUCGUGCGACAUUGAUUCAACUUGAAAUGAAACUCUUGAAAUUCCUUCCACGCAUUCGUAUACGCGCAUGAACGCUCAGUAUCAGUUGUGCAUCGAUGGCUUGUGAUUCCCUAGAUAAGGUGCGAGAUGUAAUUUCUAUGUGUUGAUGUUAGACCAGUCUGGAGGGCUUGAGGCCGAGUUUUGACUGUAGCUUGAGCACUUAGAUUUCGAUUGUGUAAGCAUGUGUAUUUGGGACUUAUAUGCCCAGUUUGUGUCCUUAUUGGUGGGUUUUGUGACUGGAUAGCUAUGGGGUGAGUAUGAUUUGAUUUCAAGGUGUGUUCAGAUUGUUCGAAUGUGACAAGAAGAGUUUGCUGGAGAAGUAGAAAUGACUAUUAGGUGCUUGACUUCUGUCUUGAGUUGGCGUCUGGCCUCGAGCUAUAAGUGUGUUGAAGGACCUCUCAUGUAGUUUAGUUGUGAAGUGGAGUAGAUCUGCAUGUUGUGUUAUGAGUUCAGACUCAGGGGGUUAAGUGAUUGUGUAAUAGUUAUGAUUAUGGAAGAGUAUAUAGAGAUACCAAUUUGAGGCUAAGCAAGUGGAUUAUCUCAUGCAGGGUGUUCUGAGAUUUGUGUAAUCCUUAUGUAGUUGGUUGGGAGUUCUCUUUUACCAGUGAAAUAUAUGUGUUGCAAUUUGAUUUUGGAUCGCUUAUGGGAGUGGGCUUGUCUGUUACGAGGGUGAACGCGAGAUAUGCAGAUGAUUUGAAAUACUAGAUGGAUGUGUUGCACGAGCUUAUGAAGGAUUUAGUUCAAUCUGACCAUGGUAUUAUGGCAGUAAUAGAGUAUGGGCAUUGUGAGUUUUUUGAGUGUUUUGACCUAUGGCUUUGAGCUAAGUGGGGGAGUCUGCUAUUGAUAAGUUGAUUGCGCGACUAAGUGUCGUAUAAAUUUCAGUUAGAGGUAACUGGAAUAUCAGUUGUGGCUUACAAGGGUUGAGAUCGAUGAUGACUCGAGUAAAGGAAAUUUUGAAUAGGGGUUGUGUUAUGCUUUAUGGGUGUAUAAGAAUCAUGGAAUGACUUGAGUUGUUAUUUGUGAAGGAUGUAAUGUGCAUGGAGCAGGAAUUUUUUUGGUUGCAUUAAGGUGGGGUUACUUCUUGGGGUGUUGGAAUGCUAAUGGAGCACAUGUCGUUCGGUCCGUUUGAUUAGUCUAAUUGAGGUUUGAGCAGAGUGGAUGACUCCCGAGAAUAGUUCUAAUGGAUUCAAGAUGUAUAUGUAACCAUUGAGGGUUCUUCAAGAUGUGUAUUUGGCCAGAAACUGAGGUUUACAUUGGAGGGUGUCAAGACUUGUGGCAUUUCUACAUUAUUAUAGAUAUCAGUAUCAAGAAUGUAAAGGUAAUGGCUUUAGAUUCGCAGGAAGUCUCUUCAGGGUAAGUUUUUUAAAUGUGGUGCUUUUGGGGAUAUUUGAGAGAGGAUUCAGCGGCUUAUGAGCCUUAGACAGUGUAGUUUUAUACUUGGGUCUCGUGUGGUGAGUCUGGGUUGAGGAUUGUGGUAUUAUAGCAAGGAGAAGUAUCAAUUCGAAGGUAAUUCAGAAGGAACCUAGAUAAAUAGGACAGCUUGGUAGUAGGUCGGAUCAGCAUGGUAAGAGAUAUGAUUAGUUCUUUGGGUGCUUAGGAGGUAAUGAGUUUCUACAGGUGUUUCGUGGCAAAGCUCUUGGGUUUUUGGUGACCUGCGUAGCUUGGUUGAGCUAGAAGGGUUCAGUCAUAACGGUUUGGUUUUGUGCAAAUGGGAUUCUGAGAGUCCUUAAUGGCUUCUACCAUGGUUAGAGAUGAAUAUUUUCUACUGGCGUGAGGAGCAUGUGAUGUAUAGUGAUUUUCUUCUAGAUGGGAUCAAAUGGAAAGUUCUUGACUAGUUGAGUACGUAGUUUCUUGUGGCUCGGAAUGGAUUAUGAAGUUCUCAUAUUUAUCAUAGGAUGACAUGGUAUACGCGGUAUGUUGUGUAGGGUUGAGAUUUGCAUGUGUGAGGCCACAGUUCAGUUCUAGAAGGAAGGUCAUAAAUUCUUAGGCAACAUGGAUAGUUUUAGAUGACUAGGUAAAUGAUAUCACUAAUUGGUGCAGCUUAAUGAGGGUAUACAUUUCAGAAAAGGCCAAUGUGUUUGAGUUAAGGGUACUUCAUCGGUAUUUUGGCACUCUUUUGUUGGAUCGACUACUGAUAUUCAAGUUUGCUUGGUGUCACAGAAGAAUUAUAGGAGUAUCCCUCGUGAAAUGAUUGAGUAUUAGAGGUGUGUUAUAUAUUCGAGCGGUGGAGUUAGGAUCAGAUAUGCUGAUUCGUGCGCUUUAUGGAUUUCGAAACUGGGAGUUCUCAUAAACAGAUUAUUUCCUGGUUGUGGAUUGUAAAAAUGUGGCCAGAGCUAGACAGAUGAUAGUAUGCUUUAUGGUUUAGUCAUUGUGCACUUUUGGAGAGUUAUCUAUUUGUUUUGGGUGACCAGAGUUGAUUUAGGGCUCAUUGGUAGGCCCAGUAUGGAUGUGUGUUCUGCACCUGGUCAGAAUUGUUGACUCCGAAUGAGGUAUGUGCCAUUCGAUUGUCAUUGAGCUUAUUCGUGUUCUGGAGUGAUCUAUGAGUUACCCUUCUGUGUUGCAAGGAGUUGUGAUUGUUGGUUAUAUGCACAUAUGGUGCAGUUCUAUUUGGGUGUUAUAGCAGAAUUUGAGUGAGAUGUGUAUUUAGGUAUUGCAUGAUUGAUUGCGCAUUGGAUAUGUUCUUUCGGGCUGGCAUGGCAUUGCAUCAUUUACUUUUCCGUGGUUAUGGUGAUUUACUUUUGGUACUAGACAUCAAAUUACGCGUGGUUAAUGAUAUUGAGCAUGGUAACUUGAGGUGUCUCAUGUAGACCAGUGUUUGGAUAGGGUCGUGCAUUGUAGCAAGGUUAUGUGGAGGUAUGAUCCUUCGGGUUAGAUUCGUGUGUUCUGGUUCUGCGAUGUGUGAUGGGAUCUUAGCACUGUGUUGUGGUAGUACUGGUGAGCUUGCAAUACAACCCUCUCAUUUGAGUCAUUUUUCCAUGAUUUGAGCACAUUUAGACUGUUGCAUAUUGGUGCGCGAGUCGCAUGGGUUGUGGCUUUAGAUUGUAUUGAUGUGUCAUGUCACUAGAGUAGUCGUGUUGGAUGAGAUGAGGGCAUCGGGAUCUAGAAUGAAUACUAUCGGAUUCAAUUUUAGCAUGUUGGAAGGAUAGUAUCGGUACUCGGCUUAGAAAUUUACUAUGGUCCUAGCCGAAGGAGAGGGAGCUCCAUACGUGGUUGAUUUGAGGAAUGUUUAUGAAUUUCUGCGUGUUUCAUUCAUCAUUGGCAAUAUACGAAUGUGUUGGAAUGAGGCCUUGUUUGAUAAGAGGUUUAUUACCGAAAUUGGGUUAUUUGAGCAGCUGCUGUGAUUAGAAGUGAUCACUGUGAGUGUUUGAGUUGUGUGGUAUAUCAUGUGAUUUUCAUCUUGAAUUGUAGUUAUGGCUUGAUACAGCGUGUUCGGACUUAUUCAGUAAGUAGAUGUGAGAUUCUGAUCUUAUAGAUAAUUUCGGAAAUGGAAAAUUGGUUCUAAGGUUAUGGGCUAGGGUGAAUUGUGAGAUUUUAGUUAUGUUGUGUUGUCGGACCUAUAUGGGAUAGGGUGACAUGGGAUCACCCCCGGGUAUGUGCAUGGUAAGGUUACACAGCGAUUUGAUGGCUUUUGGAACAACUCCUAGCACGUUCGAGGACGAACGUAUGUUUAAGUGGGAGAUGAUGUAACGACCCGACCAGUCGUUUUGAGCAUUUGCACUUCGCUCUGUUGUUUGAGGGCAUGAGUAGCUAUGUAUGAAGUAUUAUGAUUUAUGCGAAUCGUCGGUUUUGGUUUUCAGGUUAUUUGGAAUUGAUUUGGAAGAAUGAUUCUCACCUGGAAGCUUUAAAUUUGAAAGGUUUGACAAAGUUUUGACUUUCUAUAAUUUGACGUCGGAUUGGAUUUUUGAUGGUUCUGUUAGCUCUGUUUGGUAUUUUGGACUUAGAAGCGCGUCCGGAUUGUGAUUUGGAGGUCCGUAGUAGAAUUUGGCUUGAAAUAGCGAAAGUUGGAAUUUUGACCGGGAGUGGACUUUUUGAUAUCGGGGUCGAAUUCCGAUUCCGGAAGUUUGAUCAGGUCUAUAAUGUCAAAUGUGACUUGUGUGCAAAAUUGAGGUUAAUCGGACGUGAUUUGAUAGGUUUCGGCAUCAUUGUGGAAGUUUCAAGUUCAUUGAUUUCGAAUUGAGGUGUGAUUCGUUGUUUCGAUGUUGUUAUGUGUAUUUUGAAAUCUCAAGUAGGUCCGUGUUAUGAUAUGAGACUUUUUGGUAUGUUCAAACAGAGUCUCGAGAGGCUCGGGUGAGUUUCGAAUAGGUUUGGAUUGUGUUGCGCUCAUUUUUUUUAAUCUUUCGACAUCGUUUUUUCAAGCAUAAAUGGUACUAUAUUAUGCAAAUAAGCUCAGAUUUCUUUUUUUAUCAAAGUAUUAGAUUCGUAUCAUAAUGAUGGAGCCAUAGCAAAAAGAAUCAUCAAAUUUGGACAUCGUAUGAGGGUUUUAUGGUCAUUUUACUAAGAAUUGGGUUGCCAGAUUUUUUCAGAUUAAUUACGAAAUUGCGACUGAAUUCGUACUUAAAAAUUUGCAUUGUUUUCAAAUAUUGAAACCAACAUAUCUCCUUCAAUAUAAGGUCAAAUGGAGUGAUUCAAGAGUCUAAAUUGACUAAAAUUUUACAAGGAAUCUAUUAGAGGCAUCAAAAGCGAGUUUCGGGAUCGUUUGGAAUGAGAAUCAAGGUAGAAUAGCUGGUAGAAAAAUAUAUAAAAUAAGGGUUUGUUCAUUUAGUCAUAUUUUGAGUUGGGGGGCUCGGAUUUGGGUGAUUUUGGAGGCGGUUUUCACCAUAUGAAUUGGGAUAAGUAUUAUCUACUCGAUUUUAGUUAUAUUUCAUGAAUCCAUCUUCGUUUUUGGCAUUUGAUUGAUGAUUUCAAAGUGAAAUUUUGGGGCUUUUGCCUAAAGUUUCAUAAAGUGAAUUUUUAUGUUUUGAACACCGAUUUGAAGUUGGAAUUGGAUGAAACUAGUAUGGUUGGACUAAUAAUUGAAUGAGUUGUCGGAUUUUGUAAGUUUUGUCGAGUUUCGAGAUACUUGCCCGGGUUGGGCUUUUUGGCCGAUUAUGGGCUUUUUAUUAAAGAUUCGAACUUUUUCGAUUGAGAUUGGCUUCUUUAGCAUUGUUUGAUAUAUUUGAGUUGUUUUUGGUUAGUUUUGAGCCGUUCGGAGGUCAGAACACACGAGAUGAUAUUUUUGGAGCAUCGCUUGGUUUGCUCGGUAUUAGAAUUGGCUUGUUUGAGGUAAGUAAUGAUUGUAAAUUUAGUCCUAAGGGUAUGAAACCCCGGAUUUCAUAUUGUUUUACUAUUUUGAGGUGACACACAUGCUAGGUGACGGGCGUGUGGGCGUGCACCGUUGGGGAUUAUGACUUGGUCCGUCUUGAAGCAACUAUAUAGUUACGUAUUUGACUGAAACUAUUUGAUACUUAUGUGAUUUAGAAAGAAUUUCCUAUAAAUUGGGUUGGAUGCGAUAUUUGGGCCUUGUGCUAGAGCUGUUUGGAACCUUAGGGGCUUUUUCUUAUUAUCCUCUCUCUGUCUUUUUAUUUAAGAUCUAUACUGAGUCGUGUUGUAUUUACUGAUUUCAUAACUCAGUCUUUAUUACUCCGUUUUGAUGCAUAAAAUGAUAUUUUGGGGUGAGCACCCUGUUUUACUGAUAGUCCGAGUGGCUUGAGAGGUUUCUGACUGAGUGAGAUCGAGGGCCUGUGUUGUGAGGAUAUUAUGGGAUCAGGCUGCACGCCGCAGCAUGUUGUUAUUGAUUCAUGAUUUUUGUGAGGCCGCGAGCCUGAUUGAUUUAUGCCACAAGGUGGCUUGUUAUGAGGCUGAUGGCCUGAUUGAUUUAUGCCACGAUGUGGCUUGUUAUAUCGUUUGGGCUAUGGAGCCUCUCUGAAGUCUGUUCACCCCCGAUGAGCGCGGGUACCCUGAGUGAGUGAUAUGAUAUUUUGCCCGAGGGGCUAUUCUUCUUUUAUGUUGUGCCCGAGGGGUUGUUUACGAGUGAUUGUGAGGUAUGCCUGAGGGGCUUUAUAUGAGUGACAGUGAUGUUUGCCCGAGGGGCUAUAUACAAGUGAUGUUUGCUCGAGGGGCUGUAUACGAUUGAUGUUUGCCGAAGGGGCUGAGUAUGAUUUAUGUUGCCCGAAGGGCUGAUUAUGUUUUCAUCAUUUUUACUCAAUGUUUUAUCACUUCAUUUGAAAACUACUGAAAGAUGUUUUAAAUGGUUUUACUGAAACUGGAUUCAAAUAAGCUAAAUUGACUCAAAACCCUGAUUUUAAAAGCCUUUUGUAUUCUACUGAGAUUUCAUGAUAUGAACUGUAUAUGUUUUAUUGCUCGUCACUACUAAUUAGUAUUUAUUUACCUUUAUUACUUACUGAGUUGGCAUACUCAUAUUACUCCCUGCACCUUGUGUGCUAAUCCAGGUAUUUCUUAACCCGAUAGCGGGUGUUGAUUACUAAGUGGCAGGUCCAUCGGAGUUAGUAAGGUAGCUGCUUGGUGAUCACAACCCUGCUUUUCUCCCUCCUUAUCUUCCCUUAGUUGUAUUCAGUUAUUUCCGGGCUAUGUUAGUCUUGAUGUUGUCAGACGGUUGUAGUAGAUGUUCAUAACUAGUGAUACCCUGAUGUCGGGCUUUCUUUCCGCACUGUUGUUUUGAUUUAAACUCCUCAUGUAGGUUUAUUAUUAA
rnacentral:lncRNA from 1 species